GUUCCGGGUUUAUCAAGUGAUGCCCAAGACCGACCCGACUUCAUACCCGGGCCGGGUAAUAUCCGGCCCGCAACACCCGGGUACGGUCCGGGUCCGGACCGGGCGGGUAUUUUUGCCACCUCUAGGUGUGAUGUUACUUUAGACUGGAGAUAAUGCUUAUACUUUUAUUUGAUUGCUAUCAUUAAUCUGAUUGAAUAAACACGAGUGUUUCUAAAUUUUAAAAAAAAAAUCAUUUUGAAUUUGAAUUUUAUUUUCGCUUCAUUUGCUAGGGACUAGCAAUAAGUUGGUUGGGGGGUGUGUUGAGUGUUAGAAAAUGCAUAUUUAUAAAGUAGAAAACCGUCAUUUUACAUUUCAAGUCUUACUAACAACCCUUACUUUUAUGUGUUUAACCUUCUUGUGAUUUAAUUACAUGUGUUUUAUUUUAAUUAAGUAUUUUAUGUAUUUUAGGGGCAUUAUAGUCAUUUCACAAUAAACGAGAAAUCAGAUGGCAAAACGGACAUCACUUUUGAACUCAAGACGGUCGAAAACCUUAGGAGGAGCAUAAAAGGAAAAAUGGCAUUGUUCACAUGUACGGUACUGUAUACAUUACUGUUCACGACACUGUUCACAUAGACGAACCGAUGAUGUGGCAUUGACUGAUGAGGUGUCACGAUCCUGUUGGACUAAAAUUCUUAUAUACUGUUGAUGGUGACGUGGCAGCAUAUCAGUGGACGAAAAAUCUCGCAUACGGUGCAUGCAUCACACAGGAUUAUUUUCAACCAAACCGCGUUACUGUUAAUUCGGGUCAAACCGUGUUACUGUUAAUCCGUGGUCAAACCGUGGACUGUUGACUGAUGACGUGGUGCAAUCCUGAGCGUCCAAACUGUUUUUAAUCCGAUGGCCAUGAUUUACUCCACGUAUCUAUAAAAAGGGGGCCUCUCCCCCUAAUUUGAUAUCUCUGAAUCCAUUUUUGGGAUCCAUUUUCUGUAAUUCCUUCUCCAUCUUGUAUUUUCUUCGUAUUUUAAUAAAUUCCCAUUUUGCCCCUAGUUCAAUUAUGAGUGGCUAAUUUUCUUUCAAGCUUGGGUUGAAAGUGAAGUCUCAACAUGUGUCAUGGGCUUAAUUUCGUAAAUUUAUUUUCUCUUCCCCUCUAAUUUUUGUGGAUGUUUUGACUUCUCGUCGACAAAUAAUAAUAGUCUUGUCUAGAUACCGCCUUGGUUACACCGGCUCUCUAGUAUAAGGUUAUUAUUAUUUGGCACGAUAAGCCAUUAGCACCAUAUUGAUUAGAGCGUGGUUCAUGAGGUGUGGAUUUCCCCCUUAUGAUUUAAUUGGCAUUAAUACGGAUUAUUUAGCCCAUGAUGCAUGUUGAUACGGAUCCAGAUACCCAAGUACGUCAUUUCAAUAUAAUUCUCUUCAAUUUAUUCUCGCCAUUUCAAUACCAAUUUUAGAAUUUAUUCUCGCCAUUUUAAUUUAAGUUUUAGCAUAUUCCAAAUCAUUUCCACUACAAAUCCAACCACCCAUUUACAAAAUUAAUUCUAUAUAUAAUUAAAAUCCACCUCCUCGUGGGAUCGACACUCGUCACCAUUAGUCUAUACUACAAUAGAUUCGUGCGCUUGCGAGUACAUUAAAAUUUGCACAACAUUGGGAGUGAAUAUUCACUCUUUGAAAAAAAUGAGAAAUUUUCAAUUUCUCAAGUUCAUCCUAUUAUUUUCUUAUUAUUUUUAAUUCUAAUAAUUUAUCAAGGCCUUGUUCAUCUAUUAUAUCUUCAGUUCUUGCUCUAAUACCAAAGAAGAGAAAAAGGGGUUUAAAAGGUGAAGGGAAGAUACUUGUAAGUGGCUUGUUAUACCGACAAUGCAGACUGAUAUAGUUUCCCAUUUGGGUUAACGAUCAUAAUAUAUGUUGCUAAUUUCCCACUUGUAUACAGUGAGUUCCCAAAAAGUUUUGUGAAAACUACAAAAGCUAUCUUGGCAAAAACUAGCUUUUCGAAGCUUAUUAAACUGAUUAUGAAAACCUAUUAGUUAAAAAUACUUUCAAACUCCUGACUUACACUCAAAAACGCCUUCUCAACACAUUAACGGUUAAAUAGGCCAACAAAGACCAUGUUUACAAAAAAGCUUUCGGAAAAUUAGCAACAACCUCAACUACGUUCUUGGUAGGAGCAGCAGAGGCGGCUUGUGCCCUAGACAACUUAGGCGGUUGCCUAGGGCCCCCGCCAUGAUGAAGGCCCCAAAUUUGGGAUAUUAAUUUUUAAUUUUUUAAAUUUAAUUGAUAAUAAUUAAUUUGCUUUAAAUAAGGUAAACCAUAUUAAGUAUUAAUUAAAAGAUUCCAGCUAAAAAUAAUGGAUAAGACUUAAAAAAAUUUCAAAUUGGAAGCUUUUGAUUGCAUUUAGAUUUAGGCUAAUAAAUGUUAUUACAUUUUCAAAGAAUAAACGUUCAUAUUAGGUAGUUGAGUGCACUUAGAAUCUGGUUAAUAAAUAUUAUUAUAUUUUCAAGAAAUAACUUUCAAAUUUGAUAGUUAUAUAUUGCAUUUGGAAUUCACCUAAUUUUUCAUACUUUAGUGAAUUACUCCCCAUUAAAAAAAAAGUGAAUUACUCCAAAAGCAAAAGAAACGUGUCUACAAGAAAAAAAAACAAAAACAUUAUUUUUUCUCCACUGCAACUUUUUUCUCUAGUCAUUGAUCAUUGCUCCCAACUACUGUUGAAAGCCACAUUGCCACAAUCUCAAAAUUAAAGUUAAUUUGUGAUUUAAGUUCAAAGUUCCAAGUUUUAUCUUUCUAUUCUCUUGAAUCUCUAUUAUUUAUUUGUGCUAUUUUUUUCUUAUACAUAUUCUUGUAUUCACUUGUUUUGAUUUAAUUUAUCUAGCAUAAUUGUGUGCAUGCUUUAUUAUUAUUCUAUUUUAAUAAUAAAUAAUGUCUACAAGAAAAUAUGAAUCAAGAUAUCAAAACUGCAAAAAAAAGAUAAGAAUAGAAAAGUUAGUUCAAUCACAUAAAGGAGUCCUUGAUAAGUUUGUUAGGAGUGAUAAAAAAAAAAGUGAAUUUGAGUGAAGAAUUAGUAAUUGAACAAACUCAAGUUGAAUUAUUAGAUGAUGAAGUGUCUAAUGAUAAAAAUGACACCGAAGAUAAUAAUAAUAAUCAGAAUGAAAGUGAAAUUAGAGAUGAAACUGAAGAUCUAGGAGAGUUCCAUUUUCCAAAUAAUAUUUAUGAUCCUAGUAGAUGGGAAAAUAUAGAUACAAAAUUAAGAGAUUUCCUUGUAGAGAAAGGUCCAAUUAAAGAGAAUAAUUUAAUUUUUCCAAAGGAUGAAGAUGGCUAGUAUAUUCAAAAGAUUUUGAUAAAGUUUAUUAUUUCUGUUGCAAAUUAUUCAAUGCAAACUCUAAUAAAAGUCAACUAAGUAAUGAGGAACUAAUGAUUGGAAAAACCUUAGUGUUAAACUUAAAAGUCAUGAAACCAGCACUGCACAUAUCACUAAUAUGAACAUGUGGAUUGAAUUAGAAGAAAGAUUAUUGAAGAAAAGAACAAUUGACAAAGAUAUUCAAGAAAAAAUCAAUAAGGAAAGAGAUCAUUGGGAAUAAGUACUAAUAAGAAUUAUCGUUGUUGUAAAGAAUCUUACAAAGAAUAAUUUAGCAUUUCGUGGAAAGAACGAGAAAAUAUACCAAGAGACUAAUGGAAAUUUUCUAAGUUUAAUUGAAAUGAUUGCAGAAUUUGAUCCAACAAUGCAAGAACAUAUACAUCAUAUUAAAAAUGGUGAAAUUCAUAAUCAUUACCUUAGGCAUAACAUACAAAAUGAAUUGAUACAAAUGUUAGGAGUGGAAGUAAAAAAUUCAAUAAUUAAGAAGAUUAAAUAAGCAAAAUAUUUCUCAGUUAUACUUGAUUGUACUCCAGAUACAAGCCACCAAGAACAAAUGUCUAUUGUAUUGAGAUGUGUAGAUAUUUCAAUGGAUCCAGUGAAAAUAGAAGAUUUUUUUUUAAAAAAUUUUUAAAAGUUGAUGCCUCUAGUGGAAAAGGCCUUUUUAAUGAACUCAUAGAUGCCAUAAAAGCUCUUGAACUUGACAAUGAUGAUGUAAGAGGACAAGGAUAUGAUAAUGGUUCUAAUAUGAAAGGAAAAAAUUAAGGUGUACAAAAAAGAUUACUAGAAAUUAAUCCUAGAGCAUUUUAUACAUCAUGUGGUUGUCAUAGUCUUAAUUUAGUGCUUUGUGAUAUGGCUAAUUCUUAUUCUAGAGCUAGUUCAUUUUUUUGGAGUUGUACAACGUAUUUAUUCAUUAUUUUCUUCUUCAACAAAGCGAUGGAAAUUUUUGCAAGAACAUGUACCCAAUUUGACUAUUAAAUCAUUGUCACAAACACGUUGGGAAAGUCGAAUUGAAAGUGUAAAAGCAAUCAGAUUUCAAGCUCCACAAAUAAGAGAUGCAUUACUUGAAUUAGCAAAAAUAAGUGAAUAUUCUAAAAUAAAGAGUGAAGCUAAGUGUCUAGCAACAUAUGAAUUAGAAAAUUUUGAAUUCUUGCUAGGUAUGGUUAUUUGGUAUGACAUAUUAUUUUCUAUUAAUUCGGUGAGUAAGAACUUGCAAAAAGAAGAUAUGCAUAUUGAUAUUGCCAUACAUCAACUUAAAGGACUUAUUUCUUUUUUUGAAAACUAUAGAGAAAAUGGAUUGGUGUCUGCUAUGAUUUCAACUAAAGAAAUUGCUUGUGCAAUAGAAAUUAAACCUAAAUUUAAUGAGAAAAGAAUGAUCCGUAGGAAAAGAAAUUUUGAUGAAAAAAUUGUUGAAGUUCAAAGUGUCUCCUGAAGAUUCUUUUAGAAUUAAUUAUUUUAUAGACAUAGUAGAUCAAGCUAUUUCAUCAAUUAGGAGUAGAUUUGAACAAUUUCAAAUGUAUGAGAAUAUGUUUGGAUUUUUGUUUAAUUUCAAAAAAUUAAAAUAUUUAAGUGAUGAUGUUUUAAAAACUUCUUGUGUUAAUCUUGAAAAUACUUUAAAACAUGGUACGUUUUCUGAUGUAGAUGGUUUAGAUUUGUUUUCUGAGCUAAAAGUUUUAAAAGAAAAUUUUCAAGGUGAAAAUAAUUCUCCAAUUGAGGUGCUUAAUUAUUUAAAAAGAGUUGAUUCUUUUCCAAAUACAUUUAUUACCUAUAGAAUAUUAUUAACAAUACCGGUAACUGUUGCUUUUGCAGAAAGAAGUUUUUCAAAAUUAAAACUGAUAAAAAAUUAUUUUAGAUCAACCAUGUCACAAAAAAGAUUAAAUGGAUUAGCUAUAUUGUCUAUUGAGAAAGAUAUAUUAGUAAAAUUAGAAUACAAAAAUUUGAUUAAUAAAUUUGCAUCUCAGAAAGCUAGAAAAAUUGAUUUUAAAUAGUUUUUGUUUUCGUAUAAUUCAUUCAUAUAUAUUUUUUCUUCAAUUUUUUUGUAGGAGGCCUAAUUUUAACAACUCGCCUAAGGUCCCGAUUUUAGUUGAGCCGGCCCUGAGGAGUAGUAAUGUAGCAAUACUCAUUUGAUCUAAUUAGCAGGCACUAAAAUUACAGAAUUCAUAAUAUGUUAUUGUAUAAAUAAAUUUAUGUGGUCAUAAGUCAUAAAUUAAGAGGGAGAGGCCCGAGAGUGAUUUACAAAGAUGCAGAUGAUGCCAAAUAAUACCCAAGAAUGUGGUAUUCGCUUUUUUUUUGUUUAAUUUUUGUUUGUGUUUCUAUUGUUUUUUAUUAUCUUGUAAAAAUAAGGCGACUCUUUCUUGAUUUAAGUUAAAAUAACAAAAAUCGUGAAGCAACUCUUAUGUUAUCAUCUACAACUAACUAUUAAUCACUUCGGUGUAUUUAUUGAGAAAAUUAAAUCAAGAAUCCUGUUCCCAACCUAAAUCCCUUAAAAAAUGAUGGUGCAUGCGGAUCAAAAAGCUAAUUAACAGGACAAGGUUUAUUGGUUGCCGAUGAUUAAAGUAGGAUAGUGCUCCUGGGAAAGAGACAAAGGUCGGUGGUGAUGAAACGAUCACGUGAGUAUGACGUGGCUGCAGGAUCUUAUCAUCCCAUGUAGUUGUGUUUGGCUUUUUGGCUAGAAAGUUGAUAUAAGAGAACGGAGAAGAAAAAAAGAAAUUUUUUAAAGUUAAAAGUGGAAAUGGGUACAGACAGACUCACAGACAGCACAAUGUCUUAUCUUAUGUCUAGUCUUCAUUCUAACAGGACCAGCACCAAGACCCAUGAUAUAUAUAUAUAUAUAUAUAAGCAUGCAAUAUAUAUAUAUAAGCAUGCAUUUUGACCAUGGAAAGCCUGAAGCCAUCCAUUUUACAAAAUUUUCACAAAAGACUCAAAAUUGACUAGUGGGUUCCCAAGGUUUUGGGAUUUUAACUAGGUUUAGGAAGGGGGUAUAUAUAUAUAUAUAUAUAUAUAUAUAUAUAUAUAUAUCUAGACUAUACUAGCCAGUUGGUAUUUGAGGACAAGAAUUGGUUCAGGAAACAGAAUUCUAAACUAGACUAAAACACUUGGUAGAAAAAGACAUGAGAAUGUCCAGUCUUGUCUCUCAACGCCCGCUUAGGGAAUCCAAAAUCCCAAAUUCUACCUAAUUGUGUUUAAAUGCAUUAUUAUAAGUCAAAUAUAUAGUUGCAUCAAAAUCUGAAGAAUUUAAAAAACUGAUUAAGAAACCAAAUGUAUGUUCGAGGAAUGUUCGUAGAGAAACUUUUUCAUCCUAUGUAACGUACAUUAAUUUAAAAUUAAUUUUUUUUACAACUCAGGUCUUGGUUAUCAAAUAAUUAGAUGGUCAUGAGAGAUUAAUUUUGAGUGAACGAUAAGUUGCAUAUUAUAUAAUUAGUAGCUUCCAAAGUAAUCUUAUUACCAGCAAACAUAAUUAGUUUAAUUCAAUAAGUUAAGGAGCCAAAGUCGGCGGAGGACUGGAGGAGGGUGGAGCUCAAAACUAUAAUACGUUUUAAGAAAUUUUAACAAAAAUAAUAAAUGGUACUAUUUUGGACUUAAUAAUUUUUUUCCCUCCUCAGAAAACACAUUUACAAUUGUCUUAAGUAUAUUUUCGUAUUGUGAACACGUUUAAAUAAUAAAUUUGUUAUUUUAAAAUUUUUUUUUGAAUAUUAUAUUAGAUAUUGCAAUAUGAAUAGUGAUCAGAUAUAGCCAAAAGUACCUAUAGAGCCUGCAUCAUUGUAUCAAACUUGAAGUCUAGCAGAGAAAUCUGAAACCAAAGAAAAUAAUAAAUAAAUAUAUUCUACACCUAAGGGAAUACCCUAACCCUCAAUCUUAAGAUUGAGGUGAGGAGACUCAAUUAUGGAACUCUCGACUUUAAGGUUGAGGCGAAGAGAUCCUUACCAACUCAACUGAUGAGCUGCUAACAGUAUUAAAUUUAUUGCUAUUAUUUCAAUAUAAGUAUAAUAAAAUUAUCGUUCAAUCAUUAAUGGAUAGAUUUAAUCCAAUGAUAGUGUUUUUUAGAGGAGAAAUUAUUUGGAUUUUAUGUGGGUUAAACAUAUAAAUUAUGUAUAAUUGCAUAUUGAGAGAAGAUUUACGAUUAAUAGAGACAUUGAUAAGGAGUAAGAAAAAAAAACAAGAAAAAAAAUUGAAAGAAGGCUAGACUGUUGCUCAAAAUAAAUAAACCAAAAGUAUGAUUUAACAAGGGUAUUUAAAAGUUUUCAAUGUUUAGAAUGGCUUCCACCCUUUUGAGCCCAUAAAAGUUUUACCUAUAAUUACGUUUAGAAAAAUAAAAAUGGUAGAUCAUACAUACAUACAUACAUGCAUACAUACACACAUACACACACACACACACACACACACAUAUAUAUAUAUAUAUAUAUUUCAUGUCCUUCCACAAUAAAUAAAUAAAUAAAGUUUCACGUGAUGUGUUAUUGUUACUAGCUAAAAACCGAUGCUAGGUCCAAAGGCCCAAUCUAACCCAUUUUAUGGUGGAUCGAAGCCACUCUAUUGGGAUAACCGCAUUUGGUUGUGGUUUGAGAGACAUAAAUACAUCAAAGUGCUGUUAAGCAUGCUUGAAGGAUCUUAAACCAUAACGGAACGUUCUAAAAAAUGAGUUAGUGGAAAACCAAUUACUAUAUAAAUAAUAAUAAUAAUAAUAAGCUUAGACUAAAAUAAUAAAUCCUGUUGAAACUCAAUAGGCAUAGUUAACAAUUAAUACAAUGCUUAUAAAAUUGUUAAUAAAAAUGUCUAAGCAUGCAUGAAAUAUGAUGCAAGCACGCAUGCAAAUUAGUGCAAAGAUGAAAGUCAAUAGACAUUGUUAACAAUUAAUAUAAUGCUUAUUAAACUUUUAACAAAAAUGGUUAAGCAUGUAUGAAAUUUAAUGCAUACAAAUCAAUGUAAAGGUAAAAGUCAAUAGUCAUGAUCAACAACUAGUACAAUGCUUACGAAAUUAUCAACAGAAAUUGCAAAGCAUAUGUGAAAUUUUAACAUAUGUGAAAUUUUAAUGCAAACAUGCAUACAAAUGAAUAUAAAGGAAGAAAUGAAGUCUGUAGAUAGCAGGCCUCACAAUCCGUUCAGGCAUCCAUCGUCUUGGUUAAAUAAUCUAAGAGAUAAUUAAAAGUAAGUUAAAGGGUAUUUUUUAAAACUAAUUUUUUUAAAAAAAAAUUAGAUCCAGUUUGGAAAUGUUUCCAAAAUAAUGUCUGAGAAAACAUUUUCAGUAUUCUCCCAUAAACAUUUCUAUGAAAACAUUUCAAAAUUCUUCCAAAAACAUUUUCUAAAACAAUUUCCAAACACAUUCCAUAUUUAUUUUCCAAAUUUACACUUUCUAAGCUAUAACAAUUCUAGAACAUUAACAUUAAGUUAUUGGUUCUUCAUUAUUCCGUGGUGUACUCCACUCCCACGUUACUAUUCACAACAGGAGUCGUUAUUGUUCAAAUACAAAUCCACUACUCAAUGAAACAAUAGGCAAAGUCAAAGUUACAAUAGGAGUUUAUUUAGGCUAUACCAAGGUCUGAAUAUGCUUUGGGAUUUUACGCUCCAGACCACACAAUAGAGUUCAAGUGGAUCACAUACACUAAGCCUGAAUUUUCAAUCAAACCCAAUCUUAUUUUAAUCGGGAAAGAGCUAUCCGUAUGAUAUGUAGCCCUUGUGAAAUUCCUGGCUCNNNNNNNNNNNNNNNNNNNNNNNNNNNNNNNNNNNNNNNNNNNNNNNNNNNNNNNNNNNNNNNNNNNNNNNNNNNNNNNNNNNNNNNNNNNNNNNNNNNNCUAUGAGCAUCGUCUAGGAUGAUAUUCUUUAAGUUAAACUACUUUUCAUUUUUUUUUUUGCCCCUCAAAGAUUGAUACAUUAGUUAGAUUUGUCAUUGACCUAGGGGUUGGGUAUUUUUGUUAAGAUACAUAAUGUAAUCUCAAACAAAAAAUUUAUAGAUUUUUCCGACCGACAUAGGUUCCGAGACAGCACAUCGUUUGUUUGUGAGACAAUUCUCACUUCAUUAACUGAAAAUACAACGUUAAUUAAUGCAUGCAAUGCGAAGCACCAAAAAAGAAAUCUGCACACACACAGUAAUAAUAAAAAUAAUGUUAUUGGAGACACAAGGAGAGACAAAAGCACCGUCAGAUCCCAAUACCGAUGCACCAACCGGGGCUUUGAUGAACUGAUGGCAACUAAAAUUAAAUCAUAAUAAAUUAAUUUCUUCCAAAUUCCUAAAAAUAACAGCCCCCGUGCCCCCCCGGCCCUUCCCCCCCCAGAAGAUUUCACGAGAAUCGAACUUUUUCUCCAAAUAAUGCAGCAGCCGAAGCAGCUGAGGCAGACGCAUAGCAGAAAUAUGUUUUAUCAUUAAUAACUGAUAGGAGAAGUAAGCUAGCUGUCGUUAUUGUGUUUUUUGUUUUUCGAAAACGACAAAUCGUAUCUAAAGCCAAGGUUAAAUUUUGAAAAAAAGAAAAAAGAGCAGUCAACGUUCGGAUGACGUCAGCAUGCGGCAGGUGUAAGUAUGCAAGUGGAAACAAAAGCUGAGAAAAGCCGUCACGUCGGAUAUGCUUUAAACGGCUCAUGAAAGAGGAGAGAGUGUGUGGAGUUGGGGGGUAGGGCUUCCGAUUUUAAAAAGUUGUGCUUUGCUUCAGACUUUUGCUUUUGGCCUUUUGGUGUAAAGAAAUAAAGGACACAAAAGAAAAAAAAAAGCAGACUUUGCUGCGUGCCAAACGGGAUAAAAUGGGUCAAAGAGAGGAGACCAAGCAACAGCAAAAUCCACACGUAUGACACACCUCUCCCUAAUUUGCCAACACUUACUGAAUUCUGACUUAAUUUUUAAUUAAUUUCGCUGCUUUUGCAGCUAAUUUUGUUCCUCAAACCUGAGAUGGGGUGGGGAUGGGCCGAUGGGAUCAUGCGACCAUUUUUCGGAAAAAAAAAAUUUAAGGAUAUAGUUAUUGGUGAUGAUAAAUUUGCUCUUGCUAGUAAUUGAGAGAAUUUUUAAUUUUUUGUCCACAUUUAUGAGAGGAGAUGUUUGAGUUUCGAAUAAAAAUCCUCUCCUGAUGUGAACUCUCAUGAGUUUUUAAAGAUUUUAUAUCAUGUAUAUUUAAGUGAUAGUAUAUGGAUAGAAUUUAAUUUCUUUAUUUUUUUUAUCUAUUAAUUACCAAUCACCCAUAUGUAUUUUUACUUAAGAAGAUAUUAGAUCAUGAGAGAAUUCUGAUCCUUGAGUUUUGGUAUAGAUUCGAACUUGUGUCAUUUUCAAAGUUGAGCCAGUAAGUUCGUCAUUAGACUAACAUUUCAAUGGCAAGUGACUUGUUACAUAUGACGAGGGGUGAAUUGAUUUCUUAAUGCUUACCAUACAGUCCCAAAUGUCAUUAAAAAUUUCAAAACUUUUGGUUGUAUAUUCAAACUUAUGGAUUACGCAAUGCAAUAUCUAAGAUUUGUAAUAAAUAAAUUUGUUUUGUAGGUGAAAAAAAAAAAAAAUUUUGUAACAAAAAUGUGAGAAGAACAUUACAUAUAUAUGCAUGAGCUAUUUUAAUCCAAACUCACUUUUAUAUAAAUAAUUCACGUGAUAAAUUUAUAAAUGAUCCUAAUAUUUAUGUAUUGUAAAAUAUUACCAAAUUUUCAAAGAACUUCAAGGCUUCCCAAUUAACUUACAGAAAAAUAACUUUUAACACGUCACAGACCUAAUUCGAAAGUUCAAUUUUAGCAAGAGAUGAAUUUUUCUUCUUUAAUAUAUAUAUAUAUAUAUAUCCGGACGCCCAACUGCCCAUUACAUCAUGUUGUGAUCAGAAUCUUUGUCGGAAUAAAAAAUUACAGCAAUUGCCACUGCCGUUCCGUGGCUUCGAUUGGACAGUAGCACGAGUUCUUAAUUUUAUCCAAACUAACAUGUAGAUUAAGCGCACACGUCUUAUUUUUCAGAUAGUUAAAUUUCUUGUCGCCUAAUCAUCCUUUUAAGAGUUAGUGCACGUGCCAUUGUCCACCACUUUGUCAAGGUUGUUACUAAAAUAAUAUUUCCUUAAUAUUUAUUUUCUUUAAUCUCAACUAAUAUGAUGAUCAAAUAUGAGGAAGUGGGGAUAUUUCCACCCUAAAAAUUGUGUAAAUCCAUUUGAUUUUAAAAGUUUAUUUAUAAAAAUUUGCAAUAUUUUUUUAUUAUGAUAGAAAAACUUAUAAAUAAUUGAUCAAUAAGAUCGUUCUCAAAAUCAAUAGAUUUCAUGAAAUAAAUAGAAUAAAUUUUCUACUGAGUUAAUUUCGUGAGAUAUCAUGUUACAAAUAUAUUUUGCUAGUUUAAUUGAGGUUCAAUAAUCAUAUUAAUGAGGAUUUACUUGGUUUAUUGUUCUAUAAAAAAAUUGGUUAAUUGAUCAAAUUUACUUUUAAUUUGAAAUAGUUAAAAAUAAAAUAAAACAUCGAUAAGUUAAUAAAAUUGGGACAUAGAAAAUUUAUUAAUUUACCAACUAUAUCAAUAAAUUAAUAAAUUAUUAAUUUAUGAAGAAAUUCCUUAUUUUUUGAAAAUAUGACCACAUUUAUAUUAUUUAUUUACUCUUAUUAUAUUUUAUUUGAAUAAUAGUGUGUUAUCUUACAUUGGUAGUAAUUAAAUUAUUGUAGAGGUUUGUUUUUCUAUAUUAAAGAUGAUAUAUAGAGACUGUCUCACGCUUGUUGCAAAAUAACAAUGCAAACUAGAAUUUCGCAUUACAAAAAGAGUCAGAGAUGAGAUUUAAUUCCAAAUUAAUUUCAAGAAACAAUAAAGAUAGAUAACAUAUUUUACAAAAGCAUGUAAUUAUUAAUUUAUAUGUUAAUGGAUCCUAUAGGAAAAUAAAACUUCAAAAAAUUAUUAACUUAAAAAUUAACUGAAUUAUUAAUUUAUCAUAUUAGUUCUAAAUUAAAACCAGUAAAAAUUAUUAGUUAAUCAAGGUUAUCAAUUUAUCAAGAUUGUAUUGAAAUGUGAACUUUUUUUUUAUUAAUUUUUCUAAAGCGUGGGGUGUGAAUGCACGCAAUUUGAGGGUGAAAAUAUUAGCCGGCCUUAGAAUAUUCGCAUCACUCAUCAUUUUGAUAAUAAGACACUAUAAUCUCACAAUCGACUAAAUUUGUCAAACUAGAUCCACACAAGUUAGAAAUAACUUUGAUGCAGAGAUAUGUUCAUGAUGAUGCACAAAUGUUCAUAAUGACGACCAAAGAUUUGUACGUAACCAUGAAAAAAUUAAUAAACAUUUUCAAUGAAACUAAUUUUGUCCUCCCCAACACAAAUUGGUAGGCCACAAUGAAGCAAAUGGAUGACAUGCAUGGUGAAAAAAUUAUCUGUAAAACGUGGUUGCUGAUUAAUGAAUAAAAUUAAAAAUAAUUAAAAAGUUAGAUUAAUUAUUCCAAAGAAAAAAAAAAGUUAGACUAAUGGAAAAAAGAAAAAUGAGCGGCCGACAUGCAAUGUAUGAGGCGAUGGUUAUCGUGAGCACACCACAACAUGGUCACCGGCUUUUGGCCGCGACAUGUUCCUCGGUUCCCUUUUCUUCUUUACCACCAACACCAUUAUAAAUCUAUCAAAGUUUCUAUUGUCCAUGCUUUACCACGUGCUCAGAUAAUUUUUAAUGCAAUAUAAUUAUGUUUAACAUGUAUUUUAGAAUGCGUUGUACGUUCAUAAUAAUAAAAAUGCCAUCUAAGUGCAAUAACAUGCUUUGGCUUAGUGUUGUGAAAGUAGGUUUAUAUGGAUAAGUUUUUUUUAUGCAGAUGAGUUUUAGUAGACAGUGGCAGAAUCAAGCUUUUAUCUGACAGAGGUUAUGAUAGAUAAAAUAUAAACUUGACCAGGCUCUAAUACAAAAUUUAUAAAAUUGAAGGGGGACAACAACACGGGUUAUAACGAACAAACCAUAAAAUUUAGUAGACAAUCAAAAACUUGUGUGAAAAAUAAAGAGGCUAAACAUAAAAUUCAAAUAAAAUGGGUUCCAGAGUAACUUUUUAGUGUAUAAUUAUCCCCAUUUUAAGAGUAUAAUCAUAGAAAGUUCACUAUAUUUUUUAACAAUUUCAAUUAAAGAAGAAAUUGUAACAAUCAGUCAAUUAAAUCCUCCUUAAAUAACAACGAACCAAUGAAAUCUUCAUUAUUCUUUUUAUGAUUUUGUUGUUGACGACCUUUAACCAUUAAUGUAUCUUAAAAAAAAAACAUUGUUAUUGAAUUAGAAUUUGACUAUUUUGCUCUUAUAUGGUAAAAGUACAAAAAUACUGACAAAUUAUUUUGACUUCAUCAUUUUUUGGGGUAAUUUUUAAAAACCUCCCCUGAGGUUUGGGCUUGUUGCAAGUAGAUGGCGAGAAUUGAUUUAUUUGUAAAAAAUCCCCUACCGUCAGUUAAGUUUAACAUUGACCGUUAGUUGACCAUGCAAAGACAAUAUUACCCUUAACAAUAGUUUGUAAACGAAAAUAACUAAAAAAAAACCAAAAUUAUUGGUGCAAAAAGCACAAAUCCUAUUUUUUGACAAUUUUAUCCUUGUCAAUUCUAAAAAUUUACAAUAUCAUAGGUAAAGAUUAUGACUAUUUCAUUUUUAAAUUUUUAAUUUUAUCUUUCUUGUAAGAAUUUUAAGGAAAUAUUAAUAAUUUAAAGAGGAUUUUUUAAUUUUUUAAUUUUAAUUUUUUAUAAGAACUUUAAGAAAAUAUCAAUAAUUUAAAAAGUGUAAAAUAGCUAAUAAUUUUGGUUUUUUUUAUAGUUAUUUUCGUUUAUAAACUAUUUUUAAGGGUAAUAUUGUCUUUGCACGGUCAACUAACGGUCAAUGUUAAACUUAACUGACGCUAAGGGGUUUUUUACAAAUAAAUCAAUUCUCGCCAUCUACUUGCAACAAGCCCAAACCUCAGGGGAGGUUUUUAAAAAUUACCCUCAUUUUUUGUACAAAAAUUUAUAUUUUUCAAGAUGAUUUACCUAUUGUACUUCAUUAAUAUGAUUAUUAGGGGUAAAAUAGUCAAAUUAUAGCGAUAGCAAUUUAAUAAAAAAGAAAAAAAUCUAAUUGACUAAUUAGUUAAACUUUUUCUCUAUUUAAAUUGUAAAGAGUAAAGUUCAUUUUUUUUUUAAUAAAUAACUACUAAAAUAAGAUGGGCUUACAUAAAUUGUCGGGUAAAAAUAUUUCCACCCUUAAUUUGGGGGUAGAGAUGGCCAACAAGCUUUUUGCUUAGGCCCGGUCCGGCACACGUGUCGUGCUGUGGGUCAUGUCGUGCCGUGUACAGGAAAAAAAAGCUCACUAAGUUUUUUUUUUUUUUUUAAGAGCGCAUGCCAAUUAGUUGUCUUACUUUUUUAAGUCUAUGUACUUUUUUGAAUCCAUGUGCCUUUAUUCAAAUUUAAUAGAAUAAAAAAUUCAAACUCAAGUCCAUAUUUAAUAAUAAUAAAUUAAUAAUAAUAAGAGAAUAUAAUAUUAGUUACUAAGUUUGACUCUAUAGUAUUAAAAUUCUUUUUUAGUACCUAACAACAAUAAUAAUAAUACUUUUGUUAAGGGUUAACUUAAUUCUUAACUUGAAAUUAUGUAGAGUCAUAUAUCAUAGUUUAUAAUAAUAUUAAUACAUAUUUAUAAAAUCAUGAUAUCUAUAAUUUUAUUUAUUAAAAUCAUGAUAUCAAUUAUUUAUUCAAUAAAUUAUAAACAUAAAUCAAUUAUAUUUUUUUGAAACUAAGAAUUAAAUAAAUUUUAAAAACUUGAGCUAAUAAAAUAUAUUAAAAGAUUCAAUUUCAAGUUAUUUAUAAAAUUAUAAAAUUUUAAGUUUACUUUCAUUAAAAAAUAAAGCGUGCUUAUUGCGUAUUUUUUCGAGUGUCAUGCUUUGACUCAUCUCUAAUCGUGUCAUACUUUUAAGGCCCACGUGCCUAAAAUUCUAAGCUCGGCCCAGCCCACGUGCGUGUCAUGCCGUGCCGCGUGCUCUACCGAAACAUACUCGUGCCGUGCCAUGUUGUACAGACAUGUGUCGUGCCCGUGCCAUACCUCGUGCCGUCCGGCCCAUUGGGCACCUCUACUUGGGAGCACCCUAGCCACCUUAUAAAUACACAGGAUUCCACCAAUAGGCCAUAGAUGAUCUAAAUCCAGGCAAAUCCCAGUAAAUCGAUAACACAUCAAAAAAUAAAAAAUUUUGUCGAGAUUUUUGAUGCUCUGAGGUUUUUUAUUUAUUUUAAGAAUAAUAUUGAAUAUCUCAAAACUGCUUUCCAAGUUUUAUGUUUAUAUGCCUAGUGUUUAAAUUCUAUUAUGGUUACAUCCACUAAAAUAAUAAUAAAGCCCAAUUAUAUAAUAUAUCCAUAUAGACUGUAACCAUUUACAAACGAAUCCUUGCUUAACAAGAAAAUUUAGAUUAGGUGGAAUUUUUAAAAAAUAAAAAUAAAGAAUUGACAAUCUGGGGCAUUCAAACUCAUGAUAAUCAUUAAAGAAACUGGCAGCAUCUCAUAUAUGCUCUGUUUUGGCCUCUUCCUUUUAGGCAGAAUCAUGUAAAUAAAUGAUCGUUUUCCACAUCUAGCUCACUCCAACUCUGCAACUCAAUCCCCGGCCUUGUUUCAACAGAAAAGGUAAAAGCAACGGAGAUAGAGAAAGGGCAUCAUUCAAAAACAUGCAGCCCUUAAAAGUUGAAGAUGCCAUCACGCUUAUGUUAGCAAGUCUAUGCUGUUGCUUUCGUUUGCCAUGACAAGUCCAAUCUUUUGUUCAUUAUCUCCAUGUAAAAAUAUAUAAAAGAUAACACUAUUCUAAACUUUUUCAAUUUUACGUUACAAGAUGCUCUAAAUUAAAAAAAAAAAAUUAUGUUACAAAAAAUUUCUACUAAGACCUUUGGCUAGAUAUUUUUUAUGCACUAGCACUAGAAAUUUGUCUAGAUUCUGCCCAGAUAUUUAUCUCUUAAAAAUUGAAAUAAAACCUUCCCACGUUAUCCCAUUUUCUUCCAUGAAAAAGAUAUAUGAGCUAUGAUCUCUUGAAAAUAUAUCUUUUUUUUUCCAUUUAGCAAUCAGAAUACAUGUAUGAUUUUUAUUGAAAAUGAACCUAAUCAAACAAUAAUUUUACAAUAAUUUAAAGUUAGUUAAUUAAACAAAUGGGCAAUCGCAUCGCAUGAUUUUGGGGGAUGUCAAAAUUUAUCCCCCAUUUAAUCACCCUUCACUCAGUGACUUAAACAAAAGACACGUAUGGUUGCUGAGUUGGAUUGUACAAAGACUAGUCCUCACAAAAUUAAUCACACAACCUACAGGUCCAAAAUAUGACAAGUGUACAUCAUAGGGUUAAUCGAAGUCAAAUCACUGAGUCAGGGCUCGGGCGAUAGACCAUGACGAAAACGAAAAAAUUAUUGAAAGGGGCCCCGACAAGAAAAUCGUUUUCUUUUUCUUUGGCCAACAUCAAUCGCAUUCAAAACAUGCAGCAGCCGCUGCUGCUCCUUUCGCUACUAAACUGAAAAGGCAAAGCCCUCUGAAUACUUGAAGAAGAAAUUUUCUUUUACUCUUCAAAGCAAUACAGCCUCCUUUUUUAAGCUCAAAAUUUAUUGCUUAUUUUCGUCUUGCAGUCAUUAGUGCCAAGGCAAUCGUGCCUUGAGCCAAAGAAGCCAAAUCUGCACUGCAAAAGGCCCCACUUAGUAGCUAGAAUUCCCAUAUAUGGUAAAAAAAAAAAAAAGUAACUAUUCAAAUGAAGAUAUGUAUCUGAAAUUGUAUCCAGGGCAUUGAAUAUUUUAACCAAACACGGGCGUAAUUUAAAUCCAGAACAGUAUCAAUUAAGGACGAUAUGAGAAGUGGCUUCCAUGAAAAGCUAUGAAUUUUCAGAUUUGAUGUCUAUAGAAAUAAAUUCUUCUCAAGUUUAUAUUAAGCUAUCUUUUAUCUUCAUUGUAUGAUGCCUAAGGGAUAAUGUUGAAUAAUCCAAUAACUGCCAUACGCAACUCAUGUAACUGUAAAUGGUAAUAUAUUCCAUGGAAAAGAGACCGUCCAAAUCUAAAGAUAAAUUUGGGCACACAUUGAGAAUCAGAGAUGAUGAGAAUAUUCAUCAAUUGCCUUGUUGUCCAACUUCUUAAAAUUAAAAAAAAAAAAAAAGAUACCCAAAUCUCACAAAUUGGAUACUAUUAUUUCAUGAACAUUAUGAAGAUAAGAACACUAACAUACUAUGACGUCCUUAUUUCUAUUAGAAUAGAUUAAAAAAAUAUACUUAAUAGCGAUUGAUUCUCCAUAUUAAUUUCUGAAAUCGUAGAGAUUUAAGCAUCCAUAUUUGAAACGGAGAGUUUAACUGUGUAUGGAAGUCUUACACCACUCGAUUACACGGUAUGUGAAGCGGUAGCUAGUAUCAGAGCUAACUCCAGGUCUAAAAGGUGCUUUUUUUCUUUUUAUUUUAAAGGGUAAAAAGGGGGGCUAAAAUGCGCAUGAAUGUCACGUCAAAAAAAAAAGAAGCAAAAUAUUGUGAUGGCCACGUUCUUAUUGCUUUUAAAAAUUUAUUUACAGAGAAUUAAGUAGGAUUUCCCAUAGGGCCCGGCAACAAGGACGAAAACAGCCGUCUAUUAAGUAAUCACCCAACAACUCUCCCCUGUCAAAGCCUGUGCUUUAUGUCUCCCCAAAACCCAUUAUUAUUAUUGUUUUUUUCUGCGAACUUAUUAAAAUUUUAAGGAUCUUUAGUAAUUAAUUCUACCCACCUAAAUGUUUUAAGAGGUACAAAAUAAUGAACCUAUUAUUUUGCCUCCUAGAUUUGCAUUUAUUAAUGCAUAAAUAAAAAAAGUGCGCGUAUAUAAUAAUACCAUAAUUAUUUGAACUUUAAUUUAAAGCCCCAUUAAUAACAGAAUACAUCCCCACUUUUUUGUCGGAAAAAUAUUUAUAACUGAAUCGUCCAUGAGACUGUAUGACUAUGAUCAAUUCGUUCUAUCUUUAAAAAAAAAAUUCUUAAGAGCACAAACUUGUUAAAAGAAUAACCCUAGAACUAAAAAAAUAAUAAAUUAUCUUUGGCCCAUUCUCGUAUCUAUAAAUACCAAGCAAAUCUUCCAAUCCGUUAACUCAUCACUCAACACACUCACUAGCCAAAUAGUUCCCGAAAGAACAGUUUUUGCAUUUCACUUGCUUCCGCUUUCUUAAUUUGUUAUUACAUUAACACACAAUCACAAUGCAAUACCAAACGGAGUCAUGGGGCUGUUCGUACAUGCCGUCGUCGAGGGGCGCUCUCGGCGGGGACCCACUGGAGCACAUAGAGAGGCUGGCCUCGGAGAACGCCGUGGUCAUCUUCAGCAUCAGCAGUUGCUGCAUGUGCCACGCCGUGAAGCGCCUCUUCUGCGGGAUGGGCGUUAACCCCACGGUGUACGAGCUGGACGAGGACCCCAAGGGAAAAGAUAUGGAGAAAGCUCUCAUGCGCCUCCUCGGCACCUCCCCCGCAGUCCCCGUCGUCUUCAUUGGCGGCAAGCUCGUCGGCUCCAUGGACAGAGUCAUGGCUUCCCAUAUCAAUGGCACCCUCGUCCCGCUCCUCAAAGAAGCUGGCGCCCUUUGGCUUUGAAUUUCAUGAUCAGAAGUCCAUUUUCUCUUCUUAUAGCCCCCCACCCAAAAAAGAAAAAAAAUCACUUUAUUGUUAUUACAUUAAGAGAAACUAAAUGGCAGAGGAAGAGGAGUUUGUGUUGUGUUGUGUCUCCUCCAUUUUGGGUUGCAAAGAGGAGUUACGACUACUAGUAUUGUGUUAGCCAGCUUCUGCUUCUUCUUGUCUGUCUUUUAAUUGUGGCCGGCUCUUUACUUAUGUUUUGUUUGCUUUGUAUUUUCUUUCACUGAUGUAAUGUAAUCUAAGCUCCCUCCUCUGUAAUAUUAUUUAUAGAUAGAAAGCAAAAGCCGGUUUAUUUUAUCUUUUUUUUUUUCACAGUGCUUCUAUUCUUUUUACUGACUUGGGGUGGGGUGAGUGGAGGAAAAUUCGGAAAACAAAAAAGUUUCUGGUUUUGUGCCGGAAAACUCGCCGGGUGCAAACCCCACGCAGAAGAUGAACGUUCUUUCGGUGGAUGUGUUGUGUUUCGUUUGGUUUGGUUUGGUUUUGUUGGGUUGGGUUGGGUCCGGUCCGAGGAUAUCGUACAUUUCAUUUGAUCAAUUUAAUCCGAUAACCGUGCAUUUUUUUCAGCAUGGGCCAUCUUUUCAUUCUGAUCCAUUGUUCGCCAUCCGAAUGGAAUUGGACCUGGACCUGUACCUGUUCCCUCUUCUUAUUGGGGGGAAGGUUGGGUUGGCGUAUCAUUUAGUUUUCGAGGAAAGUGUAGGGGUUAAAAGAGUGCAUAUGUAGAGUGGGGUCAUCAGUCUUUUCCCCACUUUUAUUGAACUUCUCUGUCCGUACAUCUGGCUCCACCAUAAACCUCAUUUAACAGCACUGCGGCUACGCCUAUUAUCAUCGAUCUACAAUAACUUCGAUAUAUAUAUAUAUAUAUAUAUAUAUAUGUGUGUGUAUUUAUUAAUUUAUGUAUAUAUAUAUGUAUGUUUGGUUAUGUUGGAGUUAUUUCACCUUAGGUAACUCCAAUAAUCAUACAAUUAUAGUCAUGACCUGACGGCUAAAGAGAACGGAUUUAAUCGUUUGAUUAGAGUUGCUCAACUAAUGAUUUUUUCUUUAAAAAAAAAAAAAACUCAUUUUUAUUGCAAUUAGUUUAGCUCUCUCAUAUGAUGACAUUUGUCAUGUUCGUAAUGACGUGGUGAACUCUUUCUUCCCACGUAAGGCAGGCAUAUGUUCCCUCAUUGCUGUGGUCCGUGGUGACGGUUUAUGCUUGUACCCUCGAUUGAUAUUCCCACAGUUUCCUUAAUCCUUAUCUGCUUGAUUCGCUCUUUUUCCUUCUUUCUUCUUCCUUUUCGUUUAAAAACAUUAAUACGGUUAUAUAAUUCGUUGAAUCAAUCUCCACUAGUCUAUAAAGUGGACUUGAAUUCCUCCAUAUUCAAAAGUAAUUUAUAACAUGAUAUUAUUGGGUGGUUUUAGUAUCUCUUACGUUCAUAAAUUGUAAAUAUUGAAAUGUGAUGCAAUCAAUUUGAGCUUACUAUAUUUCAUGGGGAUUCUGUUAUAUGUUUAAGAAUUUUUUUUUCUUUCAAGAUUAGCUUGUCUUUAUCUCCAAUUCAUUUGUUGGAAUUUUAUUACUAUUUCAAAAUAUUAAUUUCCCACAUUUGAGGGAACUGAGAGCAAUCAUUUUUAUAUUUUAUUUAAAAUUAGUCACGCGUUUGAUUUACUUAUAAAUUAAAGUUGAAUAAGUCAAAUGUAGAUGUCAUUUACAUUAUUUAAAAAUUACAUAAAUUAUGAGGUAUAUGAAUGACUAAUUCAAAUUAAAUAAGGAAAGUGGGUGAUUAAUUUAUUUUGAAUUAAGAAAAAGAUUAUAGAGGGUUUCUCUAUAUAAAUGAGACAUAAAAAAACCUUUAAGGGACUGCAACCUCUAUUUUCUUCAUAAAAUAUUCUUUAUGUGCUUGGAGUACAACCUCACAACAGUAGCAUCAUUUGAGUCCUGGAGAUAAGCCCGUAUUAUUUGUGUCCUUAUUUCAUUGGAAAAUCUUUUUAUAAGAGUGAAAAUUGGUCAUGAGGACAAUGUAUUAUGCACGCCUUGACGAAUAUUGUGAUUGCUGGCAAGUGAACAUCGCUGUGAAUAGUAUUGACUGAACAACACCCAUCAAUAGCGACAUGAAUAGUGUUCGUAAAUAGUAAUGUGAACAAUAUUGACAACUACUAUUCAUAGGGCUCUAUUUGCAUGUCAAAAUUGCUGCUUCGGCUGGUUUCUAGAAAUUCAACAAAGCAAUAUUGACUCUUGUUUCCAACAUAUCACCUAAUACCUAAGCGGUUCACAAUAAGGAAAAAGAGAAAAAUCAAUGGCAGCACCCUAUUUCAUACGCAGGGAUGGAUCCAUAAAAUUAAUCUAUUAGGGACAGUACUAUAAUAAAAAAAUUAAUAAAAAUAAAUGUUUGGGAGGGAUACUGUUUGGGACAAAUGCGUCGAAGGGACCAGGAAUGACGAGCAGAUAUCUGAUGGCGGAGUUCUGCGAACCGGUGUGUUCCGUUAAAGCCUGGCGCGUGGAAGAACAGGAGCAGAAACAUCUUGCUCGUCCACGAUGUUGUCGUCCGCGAGGCCAAUUCCUAUAAAAGGCAUAAGGCCAUUCCGGCUAGAGAUCGAGAGGCGAGGAGACCCGGUCGACGGCAGUUGGCAAGACGUGCUCUCCAGCACGAGAAUCUAGGCACAACAGCCACGCUUUCCCCAGAACCGCGACGUAACACGCAAGAUCUCACAGAGCCAUGACAGCCACACUUUCCCCAGAACUGUGGCGUAACACGCAAGGUCUCACAGAGCCAUGGCAGCCACGCUUUCCCCUGAACCGUGGCGUAACACGCCAGAUCCCAUGUUUUGCCCAUAACGCAGCAGUUGGAGUCCCAUACCGUCUCGAAAAGAGCGGAAGACUGAGAUUCAGAGGAAGCCUAUAAAAAGGUAGCCAACGAAGGUAAAAGGGUUGGCAUUCUUGAGAAAAGGGGAGAAAACCACAAGAAACGCCAUAAGACCUGUGGCAAGCUUUUCCCGAACCUUCAUAUCUGACUUGAGCGUCGGAGGGUUUACGCCGGGAAAACAACCGGCGUACUCUGACUUAUCUGUGUACGCAGGGACCUCUGGAGAAGAAGCCUGGCGAGGAGACCUCCUGGUCGUGACGAAGUUGAUCGAGCAGAGAUCCUGAUCGUAGAACGAGGAGAACCGAAAUCUCGCAUCAACAUUUUGGCGCCGUCUGUGGGGAUCCAGAGCAAAAAGCUUCUGUCGAUAGCAAGAAGAGAGGUGGAGUAAGCGAAAGGCAAUGGAGAUAGGAGGAAGUAGCGCACAAGGGGGUGACAUAAGGCUUAACGAUUCCGUGACGCUGAGGGAGGUAAUCAGCGAAACACGGGAAAAAGUCAUGUUCGACCGGAUGGAGCGAAUGGAAAAGUAGAUGGAAACCUUGACAACCAUCCUGCAUGAGUUGCGGAACGAGCGAAGGGUAACCCAAGAGGGAAGGGUGAGAGGCGGUGGAGCGGCACCAGGUACCGAUAGUGCGGAGAGAAGUCAAACCGCUGGGAGAUUUGGUGGUGAGAGAGGUAACGUACCUCUGCGGGGAGAAUUUCAUAGAGAAAGAGAGCAGUCCCCGGUAAGACAGACUUGUGACGGGGGCGACGGGGUGGUGAAUGCAGAGGAAACAGAACUGAGGCAACACUUACAUGAUGUAGAGCGAGAGCGGGAUCAAGCUGCCGCGCGCGACCCUGGUCGCGCAGGACAGCUGGAGGAGGAAGUGCGAAGGCUAGCGCAAAUAAUUGACGACAUGCAAGGGAGGAACAGAGCCCCUGGUUGGAGGAUAAUGCUGGACGGGGAAUCACCGCUCGCAGCAGAGAUCAUGAGGGCAGUUAUUCCGAGAGAUUUCCGCCUCCCCGACCUCAAAUACUCGGGAAGAACUGACCCGCUGGUGCACAUAGAGCGCUUCAACGACAUAACGGGGGUCCAGGGAUUAUCUCCAUCCCAAAGGUGCAGGGUGUUCCCACUAUCCCUUGAGGGACGUGCACGAGAAUGGUACAGGAAACUUCCUCGGGGCAGCAUAAAAACCUUCGAGCAGAUGUGCCAGGAAUUCGCAGAGCAGUUUAGUGGGGCAAUGUCACCGGAAGAUGACAUGAUGGAGCUGAAGAGCAUGAAACAGGGGGAGCAAGAAACCCUUCGGGAAUUCAUCAAGAGGUUUCAUCGGGCUGUCCUCGACUUGGGAGCCUUCAACCACCCUCAGGCGUUAAGGGGACUGAAAGAAGGGGUGAAGAUAUGAAGGCUGUGGUACAAUUUGAGAAGCCCAGCUAUUCAAACGUAUGCAGCCGCAUACGAACAGGCUAAAAGAGACAUCGAGAUUGAGGAGGAGAAGGCUGCACGGAUCAAGACAGACCAGUUGGAAGGGUUAGGGAGGAAAGAGAAGAAAGCAUUACCAACUAAUGGGCCGAUCAGGAGGAGGGACCACCAGAUCUCCGGUAGUGGAGCAGGAGGUAGGGUAAUUGCUUACCAGCCUCAUCAGAGGCCGCCACAGUAUCAGCGCAGCAGGGCGCCACCUCCUCGUUCCCCAGCUAGGGAGCCUUGGAGAAGACAUGAUCCGGCAUCCGGCGAUCUUCAUCAACAUUCCCACGAUAGCAGGACGAGCAGACCAGAAGCACUCCCAUCGCCCCCAACUCACAGUGGGGCAAACAGAGAAAGAGCAGUGCAUCUGGUCGACCAGAACCAGGACUAUGGGCGGUACACUCCCUUGAAGAUGCCCCUGGAUGAGGUGUACGAGGCCAUAAAGGGUCGAGGGCUGUUGCACCUCCCUACACCAAUAACAAAGCUACCCAACAGGAGGGAUAGAGGACGUUAUUGUAAGUUCCAUGGCACCCAUGGCCAUACCACAGCAGAGUGUAGAGAUCUCAAGACCCAGGUCGAAGAUUUGGUGAGAAAUCGGUACCUGGACGAGUUUAUGGAUGAGACUUUCCCGAUGGUGGCCACAACGGAUGAAGGGGAGCAGAGUGAUGGAAUCUUGGGACGCGAGCCGCCCGCAGCGAGGGUGAUAGCUGGGGGCCCAACGUUGGCCGGAGAUUCGAACAGAUCGAGAAAAAAUUAUGCCAGAUACGCCAUGACCAGUAAAGAGAUACUCUUCAACACCCCAGCAGCCAAACGAGCAAGGGUCAGGCAAGUGCCAAUCAUGUGGACGGAUGAGGAUGAGGAAGGGAUUCUAUACCCCCACGAGGACGCUUUAGUCAUCAAGGCUACGAUCGCUAGCAAGAAGUUUGACCGGAUACUGGUUGAUACGGGGAGCUCAGUUGAUGUGCUAUUUAAAUCAACUUUGGAAGAGAUGGGAAUAGCCGACCGGAAGUUGGAAUACACCAACACCUCCUUGAAGGGGUUCGGAGGAGGGAAGCUGGUCCCUCUGGGCGUGGUCGAACUGCCCAUCACAAUCGGGAGCCCCCCGACAGAAAGAACAAUGAUACUGGACUUCGUCGUAGUGGACGAGGAAGGUCCUUACCAGAUGAUCCUAGGUCGGCCAUUUUUAAGGAUGAGCAAAGCGGUGCUGUCCAACCAUUAUCUGGCUCUGAAGUACCGGGUGAAUGGGGUAGUCGGAGUGGUACGAGGAGACCAGAGGAUCGCAAGAAGCUGCUACUCCUCGGCAGCAAGGGAGGUGAUGCAGAUAACAUCCCUCGAUACCCGAGUGGAAAACAAGACUGGCAGACAAGAACCCGUAGAGGAUCUGGAAACAGUAAGCAUGGGACCAGAGAACCCGGGAAAGACGAUCAGAAUCGGGUCGAGACUUGAGGGAGAGCAAAAGCAGGAGUUGGUGAAAUGCUUACAGGCUCAUGCCGACGUGUUUGCCUGGACACAUGAGGACAUGCCAGGGAUUGACCCAGAGGUAGCAUGUCAUAGGCUGGCAAUAAAGAAAGGUGCUCGGGCAGUAAGGCAGAAGAGGAGGUGCUUCAACCAGGAGAGGUAUGAGGCUGUAAAUGAUGAGGUGGAGAAGCUUCUGAGAGCAGGGUUCAUUCGGGAAGUCAAUUACCCAGAGUGGAUAUCAAAUGUGGUGUUGGUAAAGAAGGCAAACGGCAAGUGGAGGAUGUGUGUGGAUUUCACAGACCUCAAUAAGGCGUGCCCAAAAGAUAGCUUCCCUUUACCAAAGAUCGAUCAGCUAGUAGAUUCAACGGCUGGACAUGGUCUGCUUAGCUUCAUGGACGUAUUCUCGGGAUACAACCAGAUCCCCAUGUACGAGCCGGAUGAGGAGAGCACGGCUUUCAUCACUAACCAAGGUCUGUUCUGUUACAGGGUGAUGCCAUUCGGUCUCAAGAAUGCUGGGGCCACCUAUCAAAGGCUGGUGAAUAAAGUCUUUAAGCCCUUGAUCGGGAAAACCAUGGAGGUGUACGUGGACGACAUGAUCACCAAGUCCAAAAUCCCGAAGGAACAUGUCAGACAUCUCGAGGAGACGUUCGAGCUUUUGAGGAAGUAUAAGAUGAAGCUCAACCCGGAGAAGUGUGCUUUUGGGGUCGAGUCAGGGAAAUUCCUGGGAUUCAUGGUGAGCCAUAGGGGGAUUGAAGCAAAUCCCGAGAAGAUCCAGGCGAUUGUGCAAAUGACGUCUCCUCGAAACCUGAAGGAGACGCAGAGCCUCAUGGGGAGGUUGGCGGCGUUGAGCAGAUUCAUAUCCAAGGCUACAGAUAAGUGUCAGCCAUUCUUUCAAGUGAUAAGGAGGGGAAAGAAAACGGAAUGGACCCCAGAAUGCGAGGAAGCCUUCCGGAACUUGAAGCAUUACUUGCAGCAAGCUCCGCUACUGUCCACACCGAGGGAUGGGGACAAGUUGAAUCUGUAUUUGGCGGUAUCUGAUCGGGCCGCCAGUUCCGUUCUAGUGAGAGAGGAAGAAGGAAUUCAGUAUCCGAUAUACUACACCAGCAAGGCCCUGCUCGACGCUGAGACCAGAUACCCAACGAUGGAGAAAUGGGCACUGGCCCUUGUGGUUGCUGCUCGGAAGUUGAGGCCGUACUUUCAAGCAUUCCCGGUCUCGGUAAUAACCAACCAGCCAUUGCGUCAAAUUCUGCACAAGCCAGAUGCCUCUGGUCGGCUCGUCAAAUGGACUGUAGAGCUGAGCGAAUUCGACAUAGACUAUAAACCCCGCGCGGCGAUAAAGGCCCAGGCAAUGGCCGAUUUCGUAGCUGAGUUCGCGGAGCCCGAAGUAUGCUUGGAUCAGCAAGAUGCAGAUAUAGGCAACGACGAAACUCAAGUAUGGCAGAUAUCUGUGGAUGGGUCAUCAGGAGAGCGGGGUUCAGGAGCAGGGAUUGUCCUGGAAGGCCCAGAGGGGGAGGAGAUCUCUUAUGCUGUAAAGUUGGAAUUUGCAGCCACAAAUAACCAGGCAGAAUAUGAAGCCUUGAUAGCAGGGCUGGAAUUGGCUAGGGCCGUGAAAGCGGACAGAGUUAAGAUCAGAACCGAUUCCCAGCUGGUUGCGAAUCAUGUCAGUGAAAGAUUCCAACCAAGAGAGGAGAAGAUGGAACAGUACCUAAGGAUAGUCAGGCAGAUGAUGGGGAAGUUCGAAGCAGUGGAGGUGAUACAAAUCCCCAGGGAGCAGAAUAGUCGAGCAGACAUUUUGGCUAGGAUGGCAGCCGUAGCCGACCCAAAAAUGCCAAAGUCGGUCCCCCUAGAAGUGAAGUCUCGCCCGAGUAUCGAGCAAAAUUUGGGGGUGUUGCGGAUAGAACAAAAAAGCUCGUGGAGGGACCCGAUAGUUUCAUACCUUAGAGACGGGGUCUUACCGCCAGAUAAGCUACGGGCUCGGAAGAUUAGAGCUCAGGCCUCGAGAUACACGAUGAUCGAUGGGGUACUGUAUCAGCGAGGAUAUACAUUACCGUUCCUUCGGUGUUUGGACGAUGACGACGCGGAUUACGUGCUGAGGGAAGUACAUGAAGGAAUUUGCGGAAAUCAUUCUGGCGGGAGGUCCCUGGCCCACAAGGUUCUAAGGCAGGGAUAUUUCUGGCCGACGAUGCACCAGGAUGCGCAAAGGAAGACCAGGAGCUGUGCAAGCUGCCAGAGUUUUGCAAAUUUCUCUAACCAACCACCAGAGAAGCUCACCUCCAUGGCCUCCCCUUGGCCAUUCGCUCAAUGGGGAAUUGAUCUGAUCGGCCCAUUGCCAAAGGGACGAGGAGCAGCAACACACGCAAUAGUCGCUAUAGAUUACUUCACGAAGUGGAUAGAGGUAGAAGCCCUUAGCAGGAUCACAGAGAAGAAAACAACAGACUUCGUGUGGAGAAACCUGGUCUGUCGAUACGGGAUCCCAUAUGCCUUGGUAACGGAUAAUGGCAGGCAGUUCGAUAAUCACAGCUUCAGGGAUUUCUGCCAGAACCUCGGGAUAGAGCUGAAGUAUUGCUCGCCUGCUCACCCUCAAUCGAAUGGACAAGUAGAAGCAGCCAACAAGACAGUCAAGAGGCUUCUGAAAACCAGGCUCGGAGCAAAAAAGGGUGCGUGGGUUGACGAGCUGUCAGGUGUGCUAUGGGCAUACAGAACAACCCACAAAACCGCAACGGGGGAGACACCGUUCGCUUUGGCUUUCGGACAUGAAGCGGUCGUGCCGGCUGAGGUAGGAACGACCACACACCGGACAGAUCAUUUCAAUGAACAGGAGAACGACGAGCAGAUAUGUUUGAAUCUUGAUCUGCUAAUGGAGAGGAGGGAACAAGCAGCCGAGCGAUCAGUCACUUACCAACAGAGGGUUGCUCGGUAUUAUAACCAGAAGGUGAACAUACGGCAAUUCAGGGUCGGAGACUGGGUACUGAGAAGAGUGAAUCAGAGCACCAAAGAUUCGACUCAAGGAGUGCUGGGACCGAAUUGGGAAGGGCCGUAUAGAGUCAAGCAGAUAGCGGGGCCCGGAGCUUACAAGCUGGUUCGCGCGGACGGCCACGAAGUGAAACGCCCAUGGAACGCAGCACACCUCCGAAAAUACUUCCAGUAAGACUUGCUCACAUUUUAAAGCAAUUUCUGCUCAUGCUGUUUAUCUUUUAUUUUUAUGUUUUAUGUCCGAACAAUUUCAUGUAAGUCAAAUCCUGCCAUUAAUGUAACGUCGACGAAUUUUAUUCGCUUGAAACCGAAAAAAAUCCUAAGGCAUGCAAAGGCUCGUCAAGUCUCAGAGCCUGUCUUAUGGCGAGACAGAAGCCAAGCAUGCCAGGAUCUGCUCGGCCACGAGAAGGCAGCAGAAUCCAAAUCGUUUGAAAAAAAUACUAAGGCAUGCAAAGGCUCGUCAAGUCUCAGAGCCUGUCUUAUGGCGAGACAGAAGCCAAGCAUGCUAGGAUCUGCUCGGCCACGAGGAGGCAGCAGAAUCCAAAUCGUUUGAAAAAAAUACUAAGGCAUGCAAAGGCUCGUCAAGUCUCAGAGCCUGUCUUAUGGCGAGACAGAAGCCAAGCAUGCCAGGAUCUGCUCGGCCACGAGAAGGCAGCAGAAUCCAAAUCGUUUGAAGAAGAUUCCCAAGGCAUGCAAAGGCUCGACAAAGUCUCAAAGCCUGUCUUAGGGCCAGACAAAAGCCCAGCAUGCCAGGAUCUGCUCGUUCGCGAGAAGGCGAGCAGACUCCAAGGCAUUCGGAAAGUUUUCUACGGCACGCAAAGGCCUCACCAAGUCUCAAAGCCUGUCUUACGGCGAGACAGAAGCGAUCAGCGUUUCAGACGAAAAUUAAUUCAUAAGUACGACACGAGAUAGUAAUCAACAACAUUUUUAUUAAUGGCUAACAGAGGGGAUAAAUUUCAUAAACGUUGUUCAUUACAAUACAAGAAGAAAUAUAUCAAAAAGAUGGUGGAUCAGUGAGCCGAGCAGCAUCGGUUGGCUGGACCUCCUCGGGUGCAGGGGGGGUAUCACCAGUUGCGUCCGGGGGGUGCUCGCCUCGCCAACAUCAGCAGGGACUGCACGAGGAGGAGAGUUACCCUCCUCAAUCACGAUCGGCUCUAACCCCUCGGCAUCUUCCUUGGCCGCCUCCUCGUCCAUAUGCUGAGCAACACCAGCUGCAAGGUCAUCCAUCUUCAGAUCAGGGUGUCGCUUCCCGAGGACAGCCAUGAUGCAACGGUAGGAAUGCCGAAGUCCCUGGUCGUACUGGUUGUCGACUUCUCUCUCUAAGUUCUCGACUUCCCUCUCCAAGUUCUCGACCUGGGCUCGGUGGGAGUCGCGGAGAGAUUCGAGCUGAGCCGCGUACAUAGCCAUCUGCCUUUGCAUAUCCUCCUUGACCUUGGUAAGCUCCUCCUCGAGGGUAAUGGCUUUUGCUUGAGCAAGUGAUUCUUGCUCUAUCAGCUUCAGGUUCUCGAGAUUCAGCUCCCCUGCUUUCUUCUCGGCAACGUCAGCUCUGGUCGUCGCCGAUUGAAUAUCUUCCUUCAUCUUCCGGUCGUAGCGGCCCACCUUAGCCUUGUAAUAGGUGGUCAUGCAGCUGAGGUGGAAGGCGCUAUGCUACAUGGCCCCCACCAGCUCACCCAAGGUGCGGCCGUCAAAAUCCUCCAGCUCCUUCUUGCUCACGAGUUUGGUUAACUCAUUGAGGUAAGGGACCAGAUGUUCUGCUCGGCUGUCGGGUAAGCGAGAUCGAGGCCCGACAGGAAGAGAAGAGGUAGCAGGACCUGUGGCUGCUCCACUGGCUUCCCCAACUUUUUCAGGGGCUGGAGGUAAAAUCUUCAAGGGUGGGGCCUGCUGCACGACGUUGGCCCGCUUUGCAGUAGGGGCAUCCUUACUGUGGUCCCCCUUCGUGGUUGGAGGUCGAGAACGUUUUCGGGUCAGGGCCCCAAUCACAGCGUCCUCCAUCCUAUGGCCAGGAAGUAUCAAGCGAGACUCGAGCAAGUUGUAUGUGCUUAACAGUUCUCGGCUCGAGCAAGAAUUGGCCCGUACCGCCUCGACCCGUUUGAGCUGGUCAGGUUUGAGCGGGAAGUGGACACCCCAAGAAACUACAACACAAACAGACACUUGGUUAGAGACAAGCCAAUAAAACAAGGACAAUUAUGGAUACAAGACAUCUGAAGCGAGCAGGCAACCUGGGACCGUGAAACGGGGCGGGACCCGGUAAUCCUUCCCGUCCAUUUGUGCGACCUGACCCCAAGGACCCCCAGCAAAAAAGAACUUUCUCUUCCAAUUCCCACCACCACCAGUAGGGAGGUCGGUUAUGGGUUUCCUGGUCUUGGUGCUAGAUUGGAAGUAGUACCAACCGGCAUCUUUGGGGCUGCUCUUUAGCUGGUACAGGUGCUUCACCUCAUCAAUUGUGGGCUCGCUUUGACAACAUCUGUCCCACAAUAUGAACAGACCAGAGAGCACUCUCCAACCAUUUGGGUUCAGCUGACCAGGAGAUAGAUUUAGCCCGCUAAGUACCCGGGCAAAGUAAGGUUGCAAGGGACAUCUCAGCCCGUACUUAAAGCUAUCCAGGUACAGGGUAACAUAUCCCCUAGGAGGCCGGCUAGGAGCAUCCUUAUUUCCUGGGACCUUGAGAAGUAUUUCACCAGGAAUGCUAUACCUCAGCCGGAGGUCCUCGAGCUCAUCAAACGUGGUCGUGCACGUCAUGUAAUCAAUAGCGUAGUCCCGCGAUAGGGCUCUACCUCCUAUUCUACUCCUCCCUUCUGGUCGCGGCGCUCCUGAUGGGGACGCCUCACCAGAAUCAUCCCCUUGACCCUCACUCAAGGUGUUCUCCGAUCCAGAAGAUCCUUCUUCAUCGCUACUGUCGCUCGAGGAGGUUGUUUGGGGAGACAUCCUCCUAGCGCUAGUACCAACACUAGACCUAAUGGGCUCUAAGGGGAUCCCGGGAUCAAAAGCGGGAUCAGCGAGCAGACUAGGUGGGAAGUCCAACUCGUCGUCGUCAACCUCAAUGACCUUCUCUUUGCCCUUCGACAUUCCCUAAACUCUACCACAACGCCACCAACUACUACCCAAACGAAAGAAAAAAGAAGUUAUCUAUAAACUAUCCGAGACCGAGGAGAGAGAAGUAAUACCUGAAGUACUGCUCCAAUCGGAGAAAGGCAAGGAUGGGGGCUUCGUGCCGGAACUUCUUUGCCGGAGAAACAGAGACGUAGACGGAGACAGAGUGAAUGGUGAAUAUGCCGUUCGAGAGGAUUUGGCUUUCCAAAUGAGGACGGACUCUUGGGUUGCCAGCAUAUAACUGCGCCGAAUCCCGAGGAUCUCGUAACCGUCGGUUUGAAAUUCAAAUGGAGGGGGGGAUUUCUGCCACGUCACCUCAUCCGCAAUUAAAUGCGACAUGACUCCUGGCAGCCUUUUCCAAACCCACGCGAGCGAGUACUAUCGAGUUUCUACUGCUGGUCCACUACAUUACCCAACACCAGAAACUGGGGGACCGGUGUUUGGGAGGGAUACUGUUUGGGACAAAUGCGUCGAAGGGACCAGGAAUGACGAGCAGAUAUCUGAUGGCGGAGUUCUGCGAACCGGUGUGUUCCGUUAAAGCCUGGCGCGUGGAAGAACAGGAGCAGAAACAUCCUGCUCGCCCACGAUGUUGUCGUCCGCGAGGCCAAUUCCUAUAAAAGGCAUAAGGCCAUUCCGGCUAGAGAUCGAGAGGCGAGGAGACCCGGUCGACGGCAGUUGGCAAGACGUGCUCUCCAGCACGAGAAUCUAGGCACAACAGCCACGCUUUCCCCAGAACCGCGACGUAACACGCAAGAUCUCACAGAGCCAUGACAGCCACACUUUCCCCAGAACCGUGGCGUAACACGCAAGGUCUCACAGAGCCAUGGCAGCCACGCUUUCCCCUGAACCGUGGCGUAACACGCCAGAUCCCAUGUUUUGCCCAUAACGCAGCAGUUGGAGUCCCAUACCGUCUCGAAAAGAGCGGAAGACUGAGAUUCAGAGGAAGCCUAUAAAAAGGUAGCCAACGAAGGUAAAAGGGUUGGCAUUCUUGAGAAAAGGGGAGAAAACCACAAGAAACGCCAUAAGACCUGUGGCAAGCUUUUCCCGAACCUUCAUAUCUGACUUGAGCGUCGGAGGGUUUGCGCCGGGAAAACAACCGGCGUACUCUGACUUAUCUGUGUACGCAGGGACCUCUGGAGAAGAAGCCUGGCGAGGAGACCUCCUGGUCGUGACGAAGUUGAUCGAGCAGAGAUCCUGAUCGUAGAACGAGGAGAACCGAAAUCUCGCAUCAACAAUAAAUAUUCAAGUUUGAUAUUCAUUGAUAAUCAACUUAGGGAAGGAAUAAAUUACCUUAAUAUAGCAAAUAAUUGUGUUCAUAAUUUUUAAAUUUGUAAUUGUGCCUUCUAGUUGAUAAAAUGAGACAAAGAAAGAGGAUGAAUUUUGAUGGAUUAAAAGAGGGCUGUGUUGAUUAAGAGUGAGAAAGGAGAGGAAAGAUCUCUGUUUUCUAGAUUCACAGUGGUGAGCCGUGUACGAGAUUUGGCAGAUAAGAAAAUCGUUUGGUUCAUAUUUUGAGUUGGAAAUAUUAAUUUGCCCCCACCGCAAAACGCAAUUUAUAAAAUUGAUUCAUUAUUAAUUUUUUAUAAAAUUACCUCACUAUGAAGUAAUUAUCCCGAAAAUUAACAUGAAGUUUAAACAAUUUUUUUUUUCCACUGGCGUCAAUUGCCCCCACUGCCCAAUAAAUAGAUCCACCCCUGUCCAUAGGCAGCUCAUAUUUGGAGGUUCCAAAAGACAAAUGAGAUGGGGAUGAAGAAUGGAACAUUCUCAUGGUUAUAAUAUUAUUAAUAGACCAAAAAGUAUUUGCGACUUUAACAAUUAAAAAAUUAAUAUUUUUUAAAAAAAAGUAGUAAAGUUUUGCUUAAAAUAAGGAUUUUAGUUGAAAAUUGAAAAGUUUGAUGGAACAUGAUCUGUUUUUGAGUCGGGCAAUCAUCAUUUUGAUACAUUCCUUUAAGAUAUUGUAAAUUUGAAUUAAUACCCUAUCUAUUAGGUUAUCUUAAUCAAAUAGGUCGGUACAUAGGCAUCUAUUAUAUGGAUUCUGUCUACAGAAUCUAAAAUUAAAAUAGUGAUGGAUGAGAUGAGCCUCUUCGGGAAUCAGGAAGAUGGAAAAAGAGAAAAUCUAAAAUGAUUUUGGAAGCUAUUUUGUAAAUUUUAUUGUACUAGUAAACAUAAGAAUCUAUUAAAAUAUAUAUUAAGAAUAACGAGGUUGAAGUCGUAGGAACUUUUUCUUUUAAGAAAGGAAAAUUUAAUCUAAAUUAAUUAUAAUCGAUCUUAGUUGAAAAGAAAAUAUUUUGUUUCAGAAAAUUAAAACCAAAGAUGCAAGUAAAUUAACAUAAGAACCAAGAGAUUGAGGUUACCAAGUUUCAGUAUCCACCAUAAUUCAAUUUAACAAUUAUCUAAUUACCAAUCGAUUCAAGAGACUGGGGCUAGUAAGUUUCAAAAUCAACUAAAGUUCAACUUAACAAUUAUCUAAUUACCAAUCAAUUUUUAAUUUUAGAAUGUCUAUUCAUAAAUAUAAUAAUCAAGCCUAAUUAAAAUUAAUUUUAUGAAUACUCUUUUUCUACUUCAUAAUGCGAUAUCUAAAUAUUUUAAGUAAAUAAUAUUGAAUAAUAAAGAGUUAAGAGUUUAUUUGAGCACUCUAUGUAAACUAUUUGAUGAAAGAAAGAAAAUUAGGAGUGGUAAAAAAGCCCGAGCCGGCCCAGGCCCACAAUGUGUGGGCCUAAAACAAAUUGCAAAGCCCACAUAUGUUAGGUCUGAACAAGGGCUUAGCAAAAAAGCCCGGACUUGGCUCGGGCUUUUUAAAUUUAUGAAUAAAAAAUAAAAUUAAUUUAAAUAAAAAAGAAAAAAACUCAAAAUAUUAAAUUAGUUUAAUUUUUUAUAUUAGUAUUUGUUAUUUUAUUAAGUUGUAUUACUAAUAUUUUAUGUAUUGGACUAUUAUUUUAUUAUAUAUUAGAUGAUUAUCUUUAAUUUAAAUAUUUUUUUUAAUUUAAAAAUAUUUUAUAAUUAAUUUAAAAAGCCCGAGCCCGGCCCGUCUAAAUUUGGACGGCUUUUUGAAGGGCCUGGACUUUGUUUGAAUGAUGUGGGCUUAGGCCUGGGUUUCGAAAAGCCUGGCCCAAGCUCGCAAAUCGCCAACCCUACAGAAAAUUAAAGAUAAUCAUGCAUAAAUUUUAUAGAUUUAAGUGUAGAUUUGAUUUAAUAUUAAUCCCAACAAUCAAUAAUGCAGGACAAAAUUAGUGAAGAUAUUUAAUAAUAGUCAACCAAACAUAUAAAAAUAAGAAUUAUCCACAUUAAAACACACAUAUAUAAGAAGAUAACCGAAUAAAAUGUAAUUUAUUUAAUUAAACAAGAAAUUAUCUUUAACAUUAGUAUGAAAAAUGAAAAAGACAUGGAGAGAUUGAAAACAAUAAAACCGAUAAAAAGCCAAGCCUUCAGCGGCCUUCAAUUCCUUUCUGUCUCGCUGAAAGCUUGGCUUUGUAAGGGUGUUCAGAAUCCAAUCCGAUCCGCUCAAUCCGUCUGAUCCGUAAAAAUCUGAUCUGUGGACCUGUGGAUUGGAUAUGGAUUAAAAUUUUAAAAAUCCGCAGUCGAUGGAUUAGAUAUGGAUUUACUUCUGUAAAUCCGUAAAAAUUCGUGAAUUCGCAAAAAAAAAAAAAAAAAAAAAUAUAUAUAUAUAUAUAUAGUUAAAAAAUUAUUAUAAAUUUAAUUAAAUAAUAUUAUAAAUGUGACAUUACAUAGUUACAUAAGCACUAUAACAUAUCUUAGCCAUUACCCAAUAAUAAUAUUAAUUAAAAAAUAAUUAAAUAAUCAAAUAUACAAUAUAACUUGUAAAAAUUGUAAAACAAAAUAAAAACAAAGUCACUAGCAACAGCAAAGUAACAUAACGGCAAGUUACCAACAAUUUGUAAAGUCACCCAAAAGCAAAGUAACAUAACGCCAUGAUGAGAACCAUCAAGGGAAUACCAUUAAAGUUUCAAGUGAUCCUUUGCACAUUCAUAGAGGCCCAAUUACAAGGGCUAGAGCAAAAAAGAUGCAAGCUGCUUUAAAUUGAUUAAUUGAGAAAAUAUGAAUUGAAAAUGCAAUUCAAGAUGCAAGACAUCAUGAAUUGGGCUUGAAGAGAAGACAAGGCAUUGUGGGCAUUAUUCAAGUUAUUGGGCAGCCAAAUACACAAUUUGUAUCAAAUGCAGAAAGGUCAAAUUCGGAAUAAAACUAGUAUUGAUUGAGCCAAAAGUAAUGUGCAAACUAUAUACCGUUGGAAAGAUAAUUACGUUAGCUUUCCAAUGCAUUUUACAGAGUUAGAUUUGAAGUUCUCUAAAAGGAGUUAUGACCAAUUCAUUACAGCUUGUUCAGACUUGAGAUUUUCAACGACUCAUUUAUUUUUCAACUUCAUUUCUUUAUUUUGUUUCAAGUUUGUCAAAAGUUUAUCAAUGUGUAAGGUAAGUCUACUAGGAAUGGCAAAAGGUCGUGUCGGGCUCGGGCUUGACCAAGCCCGAACCCGACCCGAUCAAAAAAAUUUGAAGCCCGACCCUAAAAAAGCUCGAACAUUUUAUAGUUAGGGUCGGGUCCGACCCGGCCCGAAUCAAGUCAACGUCAGGUCGGGCCCAACCCGACCCUACCAAAAUAGUUUUCAUAUUAUUUUAAUAUUAAACUAUUUUUUAACGUUUUGUUUUAUAUUCAUGUUAUUUUAAUGUUUUUCUUCUAUACAUGCACCUUAAUUCAAUAAUUUAGGCAACUCAAAUUUGUCAAUAUCUUGUAAUUUUAUGACCACAUCCCAAAUUCAUUCAUGUUACUUUUUAAUUUUUGUUCUCUUUCUAGUUAUAAUACCAUGAAUAUAAUACAAAAGAAAUAAUUUUUCUAAUUUAAAAUAAUUAACAAGACAAAUGCAAAAUAUACAAUAUAAUUAAUCACAAAAUAAUGCACAAAACAACCAAUUAAUAGGAAUAAUUUUUUAAAUUCAAUUCCAUAAUCCAACUUUAAAAACACACAAUGCGAUUAAAUUAAAAAAAACACACAAUUUAAUUCCACAACCAUUUCAACCCCACACACAAAUCAAUUCCAAAAUCCAACAUGAAAAACUCAUAAUGCAAUUAAAUUAAAAAUACACAUGUAAUUUCACAACCAUUUUAGCCAUACACAAUUCAAUUCAACAAUCCAACAUAAAAAAUAAAAAAUAAAAAACUCAUGUCUUAUACAAAUAAAAACACACAAUUUAGUUCCACAACCCAACAUUAAAAAAAAAAACAUGUCUUAUGUUGAGUGUUAGAAAAUGCAUAUUUAUAAAGGAGAAAACCGUUAUUUUACAUUUCAAGUCUUACUAACAACCCUUACUUUUAUGUAUUUAACCUACUUGUGAUUUAAUUACAUGUGUUUUAUUUUAAUUAAGUAUUUUAUGUAUUUUAGGGGCAUUAUAGUCAUUUCACAAUAAACGAGAAAUCAGAUGGCAAAACGGACAUCACUUUUGAACUCAGGACGGUCGAAAACCUUAGGAGGAGCAUAAAAGGAAAAAUGGCACUGUUCACAUGUACGGUACUGUAUACGUUACUGUUCACGACACUGUUCACAUAGACGGACCGAUGACGUGGCAUUGACUGAUGAGGUGUCACGAUCCUGUUGGACUAAAAUUCUUAUAUAUUGUUGAUGGUGACGUGGUAGCAUAUCAGUGGACGAAAAAUUUCGCAUACGGUGCAUGCAUCACACAGGAUUAUUUUCAACCAAACCGCGUUACUGAUCAUCCGGGUCAAAUCGUGUUACUGUUCAUCCGCGUGGUCAAACCGUGGACUGUUGACUGAUGACGUGGCGCAAUCCUGAGCGUCCAAACUGUUUUUAAUCCGAUGGCCAUGAUUUACUCCAUGUAUCUAUAAAAAGGGGGCCUCUCCUCCCUAAUUUGAUAUCUCUUAAUUCAUUUUUGGGAUCCAUUUUCUGUAAUUCCUUCUCCAUCUUGUAUUUUCUUCGUAUUUUAAUAAAUUCCCAUUUUGCCCCUAGUUCAAUUAUGAGUGGCUAGUUUUCUUUCAAGCUUGGGUUGAAGAUGAAGUCUCAACAUGUGUCAUGGGCUUAAUUUGAUAAAUUUAUUUUCUAUUCCCCUCUAGUUUUUGUGGAUGUUUUGACUUCUCGUCGACAAAUAAUAUUAAUCUUGUCUAGUACCGCCUUGGUUUCACCGGCCCUCUAGUACAAGGUUAUUAUUAUUUGGCACGAUAAGCCCUUAGCACCAUAUUGAUUAGAGCGUGGUUCAUGAGGUGUAGAUUCCCCCCUCAUGAUUUAAUGGACAUUAAUACGGAUUAUUUAGCCCAUGAUGCAUGUUGAUACGAAUCCAGAUACCCAAGUACGUCAUUUCAAUAGAAUUCUCUUUAAUUUAUUCUCACCAUUUCAAUACCAAUUUUAGAAUUUAUUCUCGCCAUUUUAUUUUAAGUUUUAGCAUAUUCCAAAUCAUUUCCACCGCAAAUCCAAUCACCCAUUUACAAAAUUAAUUCUAUACACAAUUAAAAUUCACCUCCUCGUGGGAUCAACACUCGUCACCAUUAGUCUAUACUACAAUAGAUUCGUGCGCUUGCGAGUACAUUAAAAUUUGCACAACAAGUUUUUGGCGCCGUUGCCGGGGAGGUAAGUAAUUUUAAUUCAUAGAAUUAAUUUUUGUGAAUAAUUUCUUUUAUUUGUUUUCUUGUAUUUUUUUAUUAUUAAAAAAAAAGAAAAAGAAAAAAAGUGAAUCUACAUUUAAAGGUUAGUAUUUCUUUUCUUUUUCUCUUCUUUAAAAUUCUGUAAUUUAAUUUUCAAUUUAUUUUUCUUUGUAAUUUUUUUUUAUCUUAUUAAUUUAUUUUUAGUUAAUUUAUUUCACGUAUUUAUUUUUGUAUAUUUUUAUAGAAAGGUUUUAAUAGCGCAAUAUGGUUAGUAUCGUAAUUUCUCCCUCUUCUUUAUUUUUAUUUGUUUUGUUCCCAUCUUUAUUUUUAUUUUAUUUGUUUUGCAUGCAUGGUCGUAGGUCAUUAUUACCUAAUCUUGAACCUAUAGACCUUGAAUUAGAAAAAACACUUCGCACACACAAACAAAUUAAAAAUAAAAUGGAUUUGCAACCACAGGAGAGGCCAUUUAAGGACUACUUCAGUCCUUUAGCUAAUUUGAGCACAUCAUGCAUAAGAUACCUAAAUAUAGCUGCUAGGAGCUUUGAACUAAAACCUAGUGUGCUAAAUUGUCUCCCCACAUUUUAUGGCCUAGAAAAUGAGGACCCAUAUUAUCAUCUGAAUGAUUUUCAUGCUAUUUGUCAAACGUUUAAAUACGAGAAUUUUUCAGACGAUGAUGUUAAACUUAGAUUAUUCCCAUUUUCUUUAAAGGAUAAAGCUCGUUCAUGGUUAAAUACUUUACCUGCUAAUAGCAUCAGAUCAUGGGAACAAAUGGUAACUAAAUUUUUGAAUAAAUAUUUCCCAGUGCAUAAAACCAAUGCUAUUCGCAGGAAAAUCUCGGAGUUUACCCAGAGAGAGGACGAGCAAUUUUUUGAAACAUGGGAGCGAUUCAAUGGGCUCCUCUUGAAGUGUCCACAUCAUGGGUACGAAAAAUGGCACCAAUGCCAAUACUUUUUGGAGGGAUUAUUGCCGAAUGUGCAAGAAUGACUAAUAGCAACAAGUGGAGGAGAGCUAAUGUCAAAAAGUGCAUCAGAGAUUUGGGAAUUCUUCCAGCGACAAGCGGAUAAUUCCCAACAAUGGAGUCGAUCACUCAGGAAUACUAGAAGAAUUAAGGGAGUAAAUGAGGUUCACAUUGGCGAAUCAAGUUCAGAAAUUAAAGAAGUCAAAGCGAUAAUUGAAGGUCUCUCUCGACAAAUAGCAUCAUUAUCGACUGCUAAAUCAACAGAGCCACAUGACCAUGACUCAUACUCAGAUCAAGCCAAUGCCAUAAGUGUAAUGAGAAAACCAUCGAAUUACAACCCAUACUCCAACACAUAUAACCCUAGAUGGAGAGACCACCCCAAUUUUUCAUGGUCUCAAGGAUUCCAACAGAACGGACCAGCAGCUCUAGCUCCACCAAUUCCACAAAAUCCUCAAGCCUCUCAGCCACCAUUUAGACCAUACAAUCAGAACCAGAACCACUCUCAACCUAGACCAUGGGAGGAUGCAUUCCAAAAUUUCAGGAAUGUUACUCACUCCACGAUUGAGCAACAGAACCGCACCAUUGAUGGACUACGAAAUGAGUUGAGAGCAGGCUUCAACUCACAAGCUCAAUCAGUUUCAAGCCUCGAGAAGAUGGUGGGACAACUUGCUUCUUCAGUUCAGACCUUGGCAAUGACCGUUGAGAAAGGUAAGUUUCCAAGUCAACCAGUGCCUAACCCUAAAGGAGUGCAUGAAGCAAGUAUCAGUUCACCACAGCAGCAUGGAGAAGUCAAAGCAGUAAUGACCUUGCGAAAAGGAAAAGAAGUCGACAACAAAGUGGAGAUGCCAGUGACAAAAGAAAAUCAAAUUGUACCUAUGAAUGUUGAGGAAUCAUCACCAGAGGAGAAAGAAGAAACCAACCCACGAGAAUACGUUCCGAAAGCUCCAUUUCCUCAGAGGUUAGCGAAAGGCAAGAAGGGAAAAUCCACAGGUGAGAUUCUUGAAAUCUUCAAACAGGUAAGUGUUAACAUCCCUUUGCUUGAUGCUAUUAAACAAGUUCCAUCUUAUGCCAAGUUUCAUCUUAUGCCAAGUUUCUUAAAGACCUUUGUACUAAAAAGAGAAAUAUGCAUGUUCAAAAGAAGGCAUUUUUAACAGAAAAUGUUAGUUCUAUACUCCAACAUAAAAUUCCUUUAAAAUGCAAAGACCCAGGCUCCCCUACUAUCUCAUGUAGUAUAGGGAACCACACAAUUGAGAAUGCUUUGUUGGAUUUAGGAGCUAGUGUAAAUAUGUUGCCUUAUUCAGUAUUCGUGAAACUUGGACUGGGAGAAUUACACCCAACUCCAGUGGUGUUACAGCUUGCAGAUCGGUCCACGAAACUACCUCGUGGUAUUGUGGAGGACGUGCUUAUCCAGGUAGACAAAUUUUAUUUUCCUGUUGAUUUCAUUGUAAUUGACACUCAACCAAUACAGGAUUCAAGGAAGCACAUCCCCAUUAUUCUAGGCCGACCUUUCUUGGCAACUGCGGAUGCUCACAUUCAAUGCAGGACUGGAAAUAUGCAGUUGUCUUUUGGCAACAUGACUAUGGAGCUGAACAUCUUCAACAUUGCCAAACAACCUCACAGUGCAGAUGAUGGAAUUGUUGAUGUGGAUUUAAUUGAAGCAUUAGUUGAUGAUACUUUUGUUUUAAACCUUAGUGAUGAUCCUUUACAAACAUGUUUAACUCACUUUGGUUUGGAUUUUGAUAUUGACAGAUCGGUCGAUGAGGUCAACGCCCUGCUUGACUCAGCACCAUCUAUGGACACUAAUAAAUGGAAGUCAAGAGUUGAACAACUAGCACCAUAAGAGAAGAAACUCAUCCCAUCAUCAGAAUCACCACCGAAACUCGAGCUCAAACCAUUACCCAACACUCUGGAAUAUGCAUUUUUGGGAGAAGAAAGUACUCUGCCGGUAAUCAUCUCAUCAUCCCUCAAUGACAAACAAAAAGGUAAGUUGUUGGAUGUUUUAAAAGAGCACAAAGAAGCAUUAGGAUAGACCAUAGCAGACAUAAAAGGUAUAAACCCAGUAGACUGCAUGCAUUACAUUCACCUUGAUGAAAAUGAUAAAUCUACUAGGGAAAUGCAACGUCGGUUAAAUCCUAAUAUGAAAGAAGUUGUUAGAACAGAAGUCCUUAAGCUAUUAGAUGCAUGUAUCAUUUACCCAAUUUCUGAUAGUUCAUGGGUCAGUCCUGUAUAAGUUGUCCCCAAAAAGUCAGGAGUUACAGUAGUUACGAAUGCUGAUAAUGAAUUGGUACCCACUAGAGUAACUACAGGAUGGCGUGUAUGCAUUGAUUAUAGAAAGUUGAAUUAUGUCACACGUAAAGACCAUUUUCCUUUACCAUUUAUCGAUCAAAUGCUUGAUAGAUUAGCAGGCCAUGAAUUUUAUUGCUUUCUAUAUGGCUACUUAGGAUAUAAUCAGAUUCCCAUAGCACCAAAAGAUCAAGAGAAAACUACUUUCACUUGCCCUUUUGGCACAUUUGCAUAUAGAAGAAUGCCAUUUGGAUUAUGUAAUGCACCUGCUACAUUUCAACGAUGCAUGUUAAGCAUUUUUUCUGAUAUGGUUGAACGAUUCCUGGAAGUCUUUAUGGAUGACUUUUCUGUCUUUGGUGAUUCGUUUGAUCAAUGUUUACAUCAUCUAACACUAGUUCUGCAGAGAUGUAUCGAGAAGAACUUGGUCUUAAAUUGGGAGAAAUGUCAUUUUAUGGUAAAACAAGGUAUUGUUCUCGGUCACAUCAUUUCGAGCAAAUGUAUUGAGGUUGACAAAGCCAAGGUGGAUCUCAUUUCUAAUCUUCCUCCACCUAAAACAGUCAGAGAAAUAAGAUCUUUCCUUAGGCAUGCUGGUUUCUAUAGACGUUUCAUUAAAGAUUUUAGCAAAGUUUCUAGACCCUUAUGCAAUUUACUUGCUAAGGAUGUACCUUUUAUCUUUAAUGAUUCAUGUCUUAUGGCGUUUGAAAAAUUAAAACAGUUGUUGACAUCAUCACUCAUCAUUCAGGCCCCGAACUGGAGCUUACCAUUUGAACUCAUGUGUGAUGCAUCUGAUUAUGCAGUAGGAACAGUAUUAGGACAAAGAGUUGAUCGAAUUCCCCAUGUUAUUUAUUAUGCUAGUAUGACAUUGAAUGAUGCACAGUUGAACUAUUCAACUACUGAAAAAGAAAUGCUAGCAGUAGUGUUUGCAUUGGAAAAAUUUCGAUCAUAUCUCAUUGGUUGUAAAAUAAUUAUAUUCACGGAUCAUGCUGCUCUUAAAUAUCUUCUCACAAAGAAAUAUGCAAAAGCCAGACUAAUUCGUUGGGUGUUACUUUUGCAGGAAUUUGACUUGGAAUUCAAAGAUAAAAAAGGGACAGAAAAUGUUGUGGCGGACCACCUCUCUCGUCUCCAUUUUGACACAAUUACAGAAUCAUUACCAUUGAAUGAGUCAUUUCCAGAUGAACAAUUAAUGAAUGUGGAAGUAUUACCUUGGUAUGCUGAUAUAGUUAAUUAUCUUGUUACAGGUAAACUUCCAGAGCAUUGGACCAAGCAAGAUAAGGCUAAAUUCUUUGCAGAGAUAAAGAAUUUCUUUUGGGAUGACCCGUAUUUGUUCAAGUAUUGUGCAGACCAAAUUGUUAGACGAUGUGUCCCAGAAAGUGAAAUUUAGAAUAUCCUUUCAUUCUGCCAUGAACAAGCUUGUGGAGGCCAUUUCAGUGCUAAGAAAACAGCGACUAAAGUUUUACAAUGUGGUUUCUAUUGGCCAUCUAUAUUUCGAGACGCUUACACUUUCUGUUCUUCAUGUGAUAGGUGUCAACGAAUGGAAAGCAUUACACGAAGGAACAUGAUGCCACUAAAUCCAAUUUUAGUGGUUGAGAUUUUUGACGUAUGAGGUAUUGACUUCAUGGGACCCUUUCCCCAUUCUUUUGGCCAUCAAUACAUAUUGGUUGCAGUUGACUACAUAUCCAAAUGGGUAGAAGUAAUUCCAUGCAGAACUAAUGAUCACAAAGUGGUGAUAGGAUUUUUGAAAAGCAAUAUUGUUUCACGCUUUGGAUUCCCUCGAGCGAUAAUCAAUGAUGGUGGUGCCCACUUUUGUAACAAAGCAUUCAAAGCUCUUUUGACAAAGUAUUCAAUCACACACAAAGUGGUAACUCCGUAUCAUCCACAAACCAGUGGCCAAGUUGAGAUAUCCAAUCGAGAAAUAAAGCACAUAUUAGAAAAAACGGUGAGGCCAGACAUGAAAGAUUGGUCAUUAAGACUUGAUGAUGCAUUAUGGGCAUAUAGAACGGCUUUCAAGACCCCGAUUGGGAUGUCACCCUACAGACUAGUGUAUGGAAAAGCUUGCCACCUACCUGUGGAACUUGAGCAUCGUGCAUAUUGGGCCAUCAAGAAAUUCAACUUUGACAUGCAGCAAGCCAGCUCAGAAAGAAGAUUACAACUAGCAGAACUUGAAGAAAUUCGCAAUGACGCAUACGAAAAUGCCAAGAUUUACAAGCAACGAAUGAAAGUCUUCCAUAACAAGCAAAUUAUGAGAAAAUCUUUCACUCCAGGUCAGAAAGUGCUUUUAUUCAAUUCUCGCUUGCACCUAUUCCCAGGUAAGUUACGCUCUCGUUGGUCUGGCCCAUUUAUUGUUCAUAUUAUUUUUCCACAUGGGGCAAUUGAAAUUAAGGACCCAAAAGAACGGUGUCACGUUUAAAGUUAAUGGUCAAAGAUUAAAGCCAUAUCUAGAAUACCAACCACAUGGAGAAGACAUCGAGAUAAAUUUGGGUGACCCACCAAAUUUGAAUUGAUUUUUUUUCUUUUCGUUGAUUUGAUUUUUCUUUCUUUCUUUUUAUUAUUAUUCUUUUGCUAAUUGAAAUUGUUUUUGCAUAAGUGUGUUUAUUUUACCAUUAAGUUUUCUCUUAUCAUUUUUAAUCAUGAGUCUCGUACUUAGACCGUUCCUCCUGAACAUUCUUAAACCACUUCAACGUGUCAAAACUCAUCUCAAAAGGCAGAUUCAAUUUUGUAAAACACAACGCAUUUGGGCUCUACAACCACCAGAGUUAGUAGCCUAUGUUGAGGGUUUAGAACGUCAACUCAGAGAUAUUGAGAGAAGUGUUACCCCGGUGAAGUGGCGAAUGACGGUACUCCGUGACAAUCAAGUCGGUUACUUCAGUUUCCCAUAAUAAUUGAUAUUCUGAGGCGAAGGUAUGGACAGAAACGAGAUUCUAGCGAAGCUUCACAAGCGAUUCCCUUCACUUCCUCAGAAUGCCCUCCUUACGAUUUAUAAAGCUCGGUCCGAACGCAUGCGAUUACUCAUGAGGAAUAACAUACCUGCUGACAUCCGUUGGUUAAUUGAAGGAAAGUACGAUCGGCAGGUGAGUUACCUCCAAAAUUUAUUGCAUACAUGCCUGGUUGUGGUAAAGGAAAUUAUGCAAGAAAACGACGAGCUCGAAGAAUUUCUGUUGCUUGUCAUAAGUGUGCCAGAAUGAGUUGCAAUAAAAACCCAUGUUCUUUAAGAAUGGUGUCUGAUAACAGGGAAGAUAAGAUUCAAUUCAUUAGGGAUGGCUUGAAUAAGGAGUCAUUGGAUGAUAUCCUUUUGUCUCUUGAAACGCAUCCCAGUGGAUAUGUGCAAGGAGCAAUUCUCCAGUUAUGACCAUUAUUCCAGAAAGAGCAUGCACGAUAUAGUCUCGGGAAUCUGACUAUAAACGACCCUGUUUGCCAGUUUAUAAGAAAACUGGAUAGGAAGCCUAUCCUCGACCUAUAGAGGGCGUUCAAGCCGUUUCUGGACGUAAAACCAGAGGAAGAUGUGAGCCACAGUCGCAACUACCUGUAAAUAUCCUUUUACUUUAUUGUUAUUUUAUUUCACUAUUGUCUUAUUGUUUGCAUUAUUGUCUUUAAUAAUUUUAUUACUGUUUGUUUUUUCCUUAUUACUGUUUGCUUUUCCCUUUCUACUGUUUCCUUUUUGACUCGCGAGCCACGUGCUUUACGCGUUAUUUGACAUGGACAUGUGACCUCAUACACAACUAUGACCCACUAUCACCAAGACUCUUAAAUGUAUUUUCUUUGUCAAGCACUCACAAAUUAUUUUUACGAAGUAUCACAAUGGCAGCUACUCCCAAUAGACAAUUCAAGAAUAUUUGUGUGCUUUCUGGAUUUACAUAUGGCAAACAUAAAGAGUUCGUUGAGGCAGCCAUAGAUCUUGGUCGAAGCAUAGCAGCGAGAAAAUUACACUUGGUGUAUGGAGGAGGUAAUCGAGGGUUAUCAAAAAUGAUCUCAGAAGCAGCUUUUAUCAGAGAAAGUCAAGUGUUAGGCAUCAUCCUAAGAGUUUUAAAACCAUUGGGCAGUUCGUCUGACUCAUCAACUGGAGAAGAGUUAGUCGUCUCAGGUAUGCAAGAAAGAAUAACUGAAAUGCUUAAUCAUGCUGAUGCUUUUAUUUUCCUUCCAGGAGAUCUUACAACACUAGAGGCACUUAUCACACUAGCAUCUUGGGCCCAUCUGCACAUCCACAAGAAACCCAUCGGUUUGUUAAAUGUCAAUAACUUUUAUGAUGGCUUUAUCGCAUUUCUUAACCAUGCAAUAAAAAACUAUUUCAUUCCUUCUAAUGUGAAAAAAAUUUUUAUUUGUGCUCACACUGCUAAUGAGCUACUUGAUCUGUUACAAGCUUAUAGACCGGAGCCAGACCCCUGGACCUUUGUGUUGGAGCAUCCAAAUAAUGAUGGUAACAGUAGCAGCAGUAAGAAGUACAAAUUAGAUUUAACUCUCUGCCUGUAAAUAUUUUCUUCUAUGUUGCACCACCCAGGUGAUGUCUUCCAAACUCUACUUCUUUCAUUUCAAACAUUGAGGACAAUGUUUUAUUCUGAUUGGGGGGAGGGAAUAGUCGACAAUUGUGGAAUUUUGGUUAAGUUUUUACUAAUUUUUUGUUGUAGAAACUAACUGUUGCUAACUUUUUGUGUUGAAGAUGGCUGAAUAUGGAGUGUAGUGACUCUAGAAACGCAUCUUCAUCGUUUAAAAAAAAUUUAAAAAAAAACUUUAAAAAAAAUUCAGACAUUUUCUUUUUCUUUAUUAUGUGUUUAUGUUUAUUUUUCUUCUUUUUAAUUUCUCCUCUAUAAAUAUACAUUUUCCAACUUUUGAGUCGAAGAUGGCUGAAUAUGGAGUGUAGUUCCUCUAGAAACGCAUCUUCUUUAAAAGAAAAAUAAAAAAUCAUUUUCGUUUUCUAUCAUUUUACGUGUAACUUUUCUAAUUAGUUUUUAUGCAUCAUUUUCACAUUUCUGCAUGCAUAUUUUCCUUUCAUGUUUAGAAUAGGUUGGGGGUAGAAUGUUGUUUAAAAAAAAAAUUGUGUGAUUUGUUUUAACAUUGGGUGACAUGAUUAAUUUUAAAUUUUAGUAUUUGUAUUAUCUUUGGUCUUAAGUGAUGUUACAUUAUGUUUGCUACUCUACAUGUUGAUGUCGGAGACAUAUAUGAGUUGCUUGAAGGAAUGAACAUGUCAUAAUAAGUACCAAGUGAGUUCUUGAGCCUAUCAUUUUUCUUGGAGAGUAACCAUUUUGCCCAUUCUUUGUACAGCUUAACAAUUUAUUAUUGUAUACACGAUCUCUAGAUUUCUUUUGAAAUAACCCUUAAUAAAAAAAAAGAAAAAAAAGUGUGUUGCUACAUUUGGAGGCCCAUUUAACUAGUAGAUAUGGAAGGUUAUUUAGAGCCCUAAAAGACGAUGGAAAGGCCAUAUUUGAUUCGUUUGAGCCUUUCUAGCCAUCCCUUUUAUUAAAUAUCCAUAGUUAACCCUUUUGAGCCUUUAAAAAAAAAAUUAUUUUCUUUGUCAACUUAUCAUCUUGACCCACUCCGAUUUGAAGUAUUACCCGAUAUCUUAUAAGUUCCAUCACCUAUUUAUGUUUGAGAAAAUGUAAAUAAUUAUGUUGUUCAGUGAAGUUAUACCAAUAAAAAAAGUAAAAAAAAAACAACAAAACAAAGGUUGUUGUUUCAAAAGAAUAAAAAUAACAAUAAUAGGUGAAAUCCACCUUGCAACUUCUAAAAAAAAAAAAUUCUCUGCAUUUUUCUCAAAUAUACACUUUAUUUUCCUUAUUUCCUUUCUUUGUUAACCAUGUCCCUAGCCUACGUUACAUCCUAAUAAAAGUCCUUCCUGAUUUUAGGGUACUAUAAUUUGAAGUAGAAGCUAGUUAUAUGGGCUAAAAAGAUGUAGUGGUGCAUAUAAAAAAAAUAAAUAAAUAAAUUGGGUUGACUAACAGAUUAUAUUUGACUUGAGAUCGUAUUAUUUUUAAGCUGAGGGCAUAUUUAUUUCAUCUUGGUGAAAGCAUGUGAUAUCACUUCUUCAUUAUUUCCUCUCAAUUACCAUUCAUUGGAGUGACUAUUUUUAUUUGGUUUAAUUUCUUUGUGAGAGUGUCACUACUUCCAGUGAGAUUUUGGAGUUUGACAUGUCAUUUUUGAAAGUAGCUAUAACAAAGUCUACUGGGCUGAUUCAUGUGAAUGGUUGAUGUGGGUGUGAUGUUACUUUAGACUGGAGAUAAUGCUUAUACUUUUAUUUGAUUGCUAUCAUUAUUCUGAUUGAAUAAACACGAGUGUUUCUAAAUUUAAAAAAAAAAUUAUUCUGAAUUUGAAUUUUAUUUUCGCUUCAUUUGCUAAGGACUAGCAAUAAGCUGGUUGGGGGGUGUGUUGAGUGUUAGAAAAUGCAUAUUUAUAAAGGAAAAAACCGUCAUUUUACAUUUCAAGUCUUACUAACAACCCUUACUUUUAUGUAUUUAACCUACUUGUGAUUUAAUUACAUGUGUUUUAUUUUAAUUAAGUAUUUUAUGUAUUUUAGGGGCAUUAUAGUCAUUUCACAAUAAACGAGAAAUCAGAUGGUAAAACGGACAUCACUUUUGAACUCAGGACGGUCGAAAAUCUUAGGAGGAGCAUAAAAGGAAAAAUGGCACUGUUCACAUGUACGGUACUAUUCACGUGUACGGUACUGUAUAUGUUACUGUUCACGACACUGUUCACAUAGACGGACCGAUGACGUGGCAUUGACUGAUGAGGUGUCACGAUCCUGUUGGACUAAAAUUCUUAUAUACUGUUGAUGGUGACGUGGCAGCAUAUCAGUGGACGAAAAAUUUCGCAUACGGUGCAUGCAUCACACAGGAUUAUUUUCAACCAAACCGCGUUACUGUUCAUCCGGGUCAAACCGUGUUACUGUUCAUCCGCGUGGUCAAACCGUGGACUAUUGACUGAUGACGUGGCACAAUCCUGAGCGUCCAAACUGUUUUUAAUCCGAUGGCUAUGAUUUACUCCAUGUAUCUA
rnacentral:lncRNA from 1 species